rnacentral:lncRNA from 1 species
AUCAAUUACAAAUCCCUGAAUCAAAUUAUUCUAUGAUUCACUUUGUUAAAUUUUUGUAUAAAUCUUUACAUCUCAAUUCGAAUUUCUCUAUGUAUCACAUAGUACAACUUAACAGAUAUUACACAUUAUAAACUACUAUCAUGUAUGUCUACUAGAACCUAAACAUGGUUCAAGAGCAUCUAGUUAAAUAAUAAAUCAAUCUCCUUUGAUGCAAUUGGACUUUAUCAAUCUAGUAGUACAUAACCUUUACCGUGUAUCCUUAACCUGCAAAAGUGGUUAUUUGCAAGGGUGAGCUCCACAGCCCAGCAAUUCUAACAGUUUUCAUGCAGCACAUAACAUAUAAUAUCAUAUUGAGUUCAUGCAUUCAUAAUCAAUUAAUAUUUACUAUGCAUGUUACUUCUCAUAUAACAGGUAUAGAGAUUUAUUUCACAAGCAUAUCAUCAAAGAUCAACUUUCACAUUUCAUACAUAUCUCAUAUGCAUUUCAUAUAUAUACAUCAACAUUUGGAUAGCAUAAUAUAGAUCAACUAACAAUCAAAUUCAUAUAACAAAUAGGAACUGAAAGACUUUCCUGAUUUGUAGUUUAUCAACUAUGACUUAACUGCUUAAAGCUUAUCUGCACUUCGUGUAUUCCUACACGGUUAUAUAAUCAUGGAUUCAUAUCCAUUAGUAACAUAUUUCAUGCAUUCUCAAUGUAAUACUAUUGUUAUAUUGUUCUUUAACUAGGUUCGUAAAACCUACACUUCACUUUCUCAUCAUACGCUUAGAAUAGCUAGGUAUGUCUAGGUAUACCUUAACCACUCGUAUAUGACAUCAACAUUCAUAUAUAGCUACCACACACUUGACUCACUACGUGUUCGACACAUUUAAAACUCAUAGGUAAGUUCAAACGUAUGCAUAAACGUCUAACUUAGUUGUAACUUCAUACCACAUCACCUAUUCUAUAUUCUCAUAGCACACACCUGAUGGUAAUACAUCACAAAUUCAACGACGUGUCAUUGCUUUAUAUCUUGAAAACAUCCUUUGGACUUUAACAUUUUAAAAGUCUAAAUUAACAUUCAUCUUUAUCACAUAGGAUGCUUCCUAACACAUUACAUAGCAUAGUGGUCACAUAUUGCAAUUUAAAGUAAUCAUACAAGCAUGCUUCAAACAUCAGAUCAAAAUAAAACACAACUUAUCCCAAACUGCAGGAUGGCGCAGCUGUGCCCUGUCCAGGCUUAGGGACGGCGCAGCUGCGCUGUCCCCUGGCCAGACCAAGACUGAGCUUUGCACUUCCUAUUUUCAGUCCAUACUUUAAUACACUUAGACACUUACACUUAAAAUGCAUACACGCUAGAGGUCUUUACAUACUUGUAAGACCAUUUCAAGUUCAACAUUAUAUGUUAGGGACUUUAGUUUAGGAUUUCCACGAAUCAAAACCAUAUAGGGUUAUGUAAUCACUAGGUGUACUAAUUAGCCUUAUGUUCUCAUAAAGAGGCCACAUAAUCUUUACUACACAUGCUCGUACAUAUUCACAUCUUUUACUCAUAGCUAUUGUAAUUUAACACUUUAAAACAUGCUUUAACCUCAUGCUUGGUUUACUUCCAUUAUGUUUAACAUAUAAGACUUAUGUUUAGUGACAUAAUGAAACAUAACAUGGCAUCUCAAACUAAAUACUCAUAUGUAAUACAACUUAAGUUUGAAAACAUGCUCGAGGUUGCCUUUGAAAUCAUUUUUCAUGAAUGAUGCGACAUAGGACAUAUAAAUCAUAUCUAGGGAUAUUCUAGACAUAUCAUGACAUAUAAAUCCGUUAGAAUAUAGAUAUCCAUGCGAUGCAACUAGAUUCUAAAAAUAUGUUCAAGUUUACUUUUGAAACCAUUGUAGACUUAAACAAUGCCAUUCAAUACAUACAAGACAACUUCAAAGGUCUAAACAUACAUAGUCAAGUCAUGUUAUCAUUCUGGCAAGGUCAGAGUUUAAAUCAUAUAGUAGUCAUGCACGUUAGUUCACUAUGUUAAGUUUUUUCUUGAAAAACUUCUCUACACAAAGCCUAAUAACGUGGUCAUGAACAAAGGAACUAUGAAUCACAUGUCAUGUUCAUUUAUGUGUAAAAUCAGUCAUGUAUAUAGACCACUAAGCUCAAAAUUUGCAGAACAUAAACUUUAACAAAGUUUGUUUUCAAAACUAAAAGUCCUUGUUAAAGAUCUUCUACCAAAUCAUGCUAAUCUUAGUAAAACAUGCUCACUUAGCAUAAUAUACUUAUACAUACACAUUACACAUGCUUGCAUGCUAGUUUAAGCCAAAAUGAUUGCCUAACAUUAAUCAGAUUUGAAAACAGUCAGCAAAAACCAAUUUCAGAGGCCGGCGCAGCUGCGCUGCGCCUCAGUGUUAUUCCGGCGCAGCUGCGCCGUGUCCGGUUCGAGCCAAGAAGAGUCUGCUUCGGCAGAACUCCAUCCCAACCACAAAUUAUUCACCAAUUCGAUUCUAAACACUCAUAUAACAAUUUAGACAUACUUAUAUGAUCAUAUAACAACUAUAUGGACAUCACCCAACCUCAUUAACAUGCAAUUCCACAAAAUCAAGGAUUUGAAUUACAAGAACUCAAGACUCCAUUUUUACAGAGAAUGAAAAUGGAAACAUGGAAAAAGGUGUUAUACCUCUGUAAUGUGAAAGAACUUGCUCCUACUUGAACUCUUAAACUCUAAGAAUGCUUGUAUGCUUUCAACCUUUACUUCGAAAAAUCUCAGACAACUUCAAGAACAUCAACUGAUAAACAUGGUUUCUAUUUAUAGAAGAAGUUUGGACUAGAUAAUGUCUUAGCACUGAGGUUGAAUUCAUGGUGCAAUGCAAUGAAACAAUGGUUCAAGAAGGGUGGCUCAACCACUCCAUACCAACCACCAAGCUAGCCAUGAUCAUCUAGGAUUUAGCCUUUUGAAAACAUACGUAUUAUAGCUUGUAGUCACUAUUCAUACCCUUGUGUCACUCAUUUUGGGUCAAAAGAAACUCUCAGCAACACUUAGCCUACACACUUGUACACAUUUUUACUCUUAUGCUAUAUCAACCAUAUAUUAUAACCUAAUGUCACCAUAUGAAUAAACAUUUCAAGUUAGUAGGUGCUACGUAAUAUACAUAUAAUUCAUGUACAUUAAAUACACGCAUUAAAAAAAUGCAGUUAGGAAUUAUUGCCCGAGUAGUUCCAAAAUUAUUUCUACUACUCACAUAACCACAUUAUAACAUUAUUUAAUGUUUAUUCAAACAUUUAAUCUCCUACCAAUUUCUAGAAUACGCAGAUAUUUAAUUAUUUCUGUAUUACCACCACAUAUGAUUUCACUGUACCACUUGGUACCUUAUAUCAUUAGUCUCAAUUAAAUGUCACACCCCACGUAUUCUUAAGCCAUAGGUAUUAUAUAUUAUUACUGCUCACAUUUUCCAUAUUACCCAUAGUAAUAUUAUUUAAUGAUUAUACCCACAUAAAUAUUUUAAUUGGGCUAAUUAUCAUUUAGUUGGGUACUUUCAACCCACACAAUAAUUAAUUAAUAUUAAUCAUUUCUUUUCAAUAAUUAUUAUGAAUUCCUCUAAUUAAUAGAAUAAUAUUCCAUAAUAUCACUUAAUUAGCCACUAAUUAAUACGGGUUAAUUAGUUAAACCUUUUUCAAAUCCAUGCAUGGACAACUUAACCAUCAUUUAGGAUUUUAUUAUCCUUGUGAGUCCUUAAUAUCCAUUUCUUAGAUUUUAAAUUCCAAAACUGAUAUUACAGGCCGGCGCAGCUGCGCUAGUCAUAGGCUUAGUAAUGGCGCAGCUGCGCCAUACCAAAUUCUCAGGCAGACAAGUUCUGCAUUAGCAGAACUGAAACCUUACAUUUCUAAACACUUUACACCUCCUCCUUAAGCGUUAACUCGUCUAAUCAUAAAUCCCCUCUUUGGUUUCACACCAUCGGUUACUAUUUUCCUUAACAAUUUAAGAAUCACACUUCGAAUUCUAAAACUCUAUUUCUCUCAACUAUAAAAUCUCAUUUAUAGUACUUCUUUCCACCAAUAACACAAAACUUGAAUAUAACACAUACAUAUAUUCCUUUAAUCUUCACUUCUCGCCGUGUAUCAAUUCACUCAAUAAUUCUCUAACAACUUUAAAGGUAUAUCGAUUCUCUUCUCUUGUCAACAAUGUACAUAUAUACAAUUCCAAACCUAACACACCUCGAGUCUUUAAUAGUAUUCAAUAUAGUAAACUGAGUGGUUUCCCACAAACAACCAACAAAUCAGUUUCCGUCUCGUCUACACUGUUUUCACAGUGAGUUAGAUCGGUUACCAAUUCGUAUAUACCUCUGCUCUCUGAAGGAAUCGUUUAGCCCAACUCCUAUACGUCAACCAUUAAAGCGUAAGAUUGCACUACUUUAGACUUGAUAUUCACUCGUACAUAUACUCAAGAAAUUGGUGAUUAUCAAAGAUAUUUUAAUGUCACCAACUUACUACUAUAAAAUAAUUCUAUAAAUUAUUUAAUGUCGGUAGAUAAAUCAUAUCCAUCUUCAUAUAACUUUAUCUCUACACUUUCUAACAAAUAUAUAAUAAUGGUAUAUAUUUAUUAAACACAACAUUACUAAUUACAUACCUCAUAUUACCCUAUGUAACACAAUACCACAUACCUGGUAACACAUUAUAUAUUUUUAUUUGAACCCUUCACAAGCCUUAAGAAUUUUAUUCACUAAAUUCUUAUUUUAAUAUUUUUUGAAAAUUCGGGUUCUUACAUGAUCUCCCCCUUAUAAGGAUUCCAUCCUUGGAAUCACCGAAACCACCUCUACUCGAUGGUAUUUCCAAUAUUACAUAUUCUUUUGAAUAAUUUUAUCCAUUCUCUUUUCAGAAAUUUCAUUAUAACUUGCUCACUUGCAUUCUACCACAUUCUCCUUUCUAAGGAACACUCUACUCACUACAUUCAUCACACAAAAUAAUAAGAGUCUUCCACGAUUUUUCAAUAGUCGGGAAGUAGAAUGAAUAACUCGCAUUCCAAAUUAUGCUGAGGGGUCACACAAGAUUGUGAACCAGUGCUUCAUCACAAUCCUUCGCACUACAAACCAGAAUGUUUAUCAAUCACAAAGACUGAAAACAUCCUCUACAUGUACGCUAGGUGGCCAGCCUAUUGUACCACUACGUUGGGCCGCAACGUAGUGUUUUGUAACGACUACAUGCGUUACGCUUGGAACCAUUGUCCCCAAAAACAUGUCCCCUUAUACGGUUUUUCACCUCAGCUUUUCCACAUCUAAAUCUGCACUAUAGUAAUCUGGCUUGGUGUAAAUAGUCAAGAACGCUUGAAUUUCACAAAUAUUUUUCAACAUUCGUCUAGCCAAAUCUAAUAGCUUAGACUUAAUUGAUCUUCUUUAUAACUUAAAAGAAAACCAAAAUUCUUUUAUGACGUCAUGAUGUCGUACCAGAUUAGUAGUACGUUGAGGAUUCCGCCAUUAUGUGACUUUGUCAUAUUACAUCAUACCAUAGUGGGCUGACGAUCUUUCGAUCACAACCAUCACUAGGUUUAACUGUAUUGAUGACUCCAUCGUUUACCAUUUCUACACCAUACCAAAUGAUGUAAAUGGUCAGAAAUACCUUUUGAAAAUUUUUAAAUCAUUUUGUCUUAGUCGGAACAAUUAGCAUAGACAUUUGGAUAACGGUAUUGUUUUUAAAACAUCAUUGGUUCAAUCACAUGAUCCAAAGUUUUUUUCGAGAAAACAGAAAUGCCAACAUUAUCACGAAGUCAAUAAAUUUUGAAAAUCUAGCAGAGCUAGAAGAUUUAGAAAAUCCAUAUUUCUCCAUCAACUUUACUCCAUUGCUUCAUUCUAUCAAUCUUUAACACCAUCAAUGCUUACUAUACCAAAAUUUCUAACUUCAUAACAUAUAUAUACCCGAUAUAGUUCAUCAAACUUACCACACUUUGGAAAUUCAGGACUUGCCAUCAUCAUAUGAGUUUAAGAACUUACCCUAGUCAGACCAUAGGCUUCCAUUCGCUGAGGGGUUCAAACCAUAAGAUCAUGAGUCACGAACGUACCAUAAGUAUGCGUUUUAAGAACUCGCAACUUAACCUUAUAUUCUCUAACUAUAACCUCUCUAUUUGUUAUACACAUGAGAAAAGAAUCACCUUCUCAACAGGUAUAUAGCAAAUAGCGCGACAAAAAUGUUUCAAUGAUUAUCAGUGCCAGAACUAAGUGGUUUUUACACCAAGUACAAUUCCCCGCCCAUAAUAAGGAAUCAUACCACUCAGCUAUUGACAUGGGUCCUCAAUUAAAAUCCCACUUAACCCUAUCUUACACUUUACUUGAUACGAAUUCUUCGUAUCUCAUCACAUACAACUCCUCAUGAGUUCAUAUCGUACCAUUUCAUAGUACAUUCACUUAUAGCAUCAAGCUAUACACACUUAGUCAUUACAGACUAUUUAUCACUUCAUAGCUUAAUCUGAUCAUGUCGUGAUCAUCAAUUUACCUUAGGGUUCUUUCCCUAUUAUCAACAAAACUCCGUCUGAGUUUAUUCUUAUUAUAUUUGUCAUCUUUAUCUUAUAGAUAUCAACUUAACAUUUUUAUUACCAGAGUUAGUAAUUCUUGAAUCCUCAUUUUCUAGAUACUUCAAGAUUCUUCUUUGAAUCUUCACUUAUAUAUAUUUUAAUCUUUAUCGUUCUCUCUCUCUCUAAGGUUAUAGCCUAAGGUACACUUACCUAAGUUUAUAACCUAUAGCUUUGAUACCAACCUGUGAUGUGACACCCCCAAAUCCGGUACUUCCAUUUCCACAAGAUUUGGUGUUCACUGUACAACAUCAUCUAUCUAUCUACCCAUAAAUAAAUGCAAACCAAGCAAUCGAUAGAAUUAAAUAAUAAAUCUCCCCUUAAGGGGUUACAUCAACUACACCAUAAUAAUAAAAUCCCAGGUUACUCUAACCUUAAAACAUCUAUGCGGAAAUCAUAAACAAAUAAGUCUUAAGUAACAUCAAUUCUAAUCAUCAUUACAUAAUCACAAUAAUAAAACAGUCUUCAUUACUUGCUAAUCUUGCCCUUUUCCUUACUAGUGGAAGGUUCGUCUGCUCUUUCGUUCUUAACUGCAAUGUUAUUAUUAUGCAAGAGUGAGCACAAUUUCCCACAAGUAUAACAAUAUAACAAAUGAAUAAUAACAUGCGAAUGAAUUAACAGCUUCUGAAAUAAAGCUCAACUUUUGAAUCAAGAAUGAAUAACAAGAAUCAAAAGAACUUCUGAGGGUCAUAAGACCUUGAACAAUGUCCUAGGUUAUCAAGUGUUUAUACUUGAAACCUUUAACAGUCAUAAGACUAUGGACUCUUCUUCUCGUACUUAGGAGGAUUAGCCCUUAGUACCAUACUAUGCACAAUAUCUUAACGCUAACGCGUAAGUAAUCCCCUUUACAGGGUUGUUUAUCUUAGUUUGACAUUCGAGUCCGCACCAAAGGAAGUUUGGUUUGGAUAAUUCAUCAAGGGUUCUAAAAUUUAGAACGCUCAUCAACUAUGGACUAGUCGAAUCAAUAAGGGUUCGCUAGUCUAACAAGGUUUAACAAUAACUGAUAAUUUAACUUGGAUACAAUCUCAAAAGUAUACAAUAGAAUAAUUAUUGUAUAACAACAUCAUGCUUGAAGGAUUAAUAAGCUUUAAUAUACGAAACAGACUUAAUCAAUAACAAUGAGAGUUUGCUUAAUGAUAACAAGUAGGGUUAGGAAACUUGCCUCGUGCGUAGAUUACACGUUAAUAAAACUCGUUCUUUGAUUUAAAUCCUACAUAUCAUUUACAUUCACAAUACCGGUCAAUUAUAACUUACUAAACAUCACACGUUUAUUAUUUUUCUAACUCGAGUUCAUGACUAUACUUAGUCAAUUACUACACUUAUUGUCAAAAAUUAAGACUUCACAAACAAUAAGGUAACUAUGCAUUUGAUCAUUCAAUUCACACGUAAUUAUGUUAUGGACGUGCUAAGAAUUUAUUUUAACACCUCAUUAUAUGUCUAACAAGUCUUUAUAUUCAUUAGACUAAGUUACCAUCACAUUUCUAUACUUGAACACUUUAAAAAAACAUUUUCUAGACAUUCUGCUAAGUGGCGCUGCGGCGCCACUUUUGUAGUGGGUCUUGGCGAUGCGGCGCCAUGGCGCUGCGGCUUGGUACUUGGCACUGCGGCGCGAUGGCGCUACGGCGCGGGAAAUGAACUAGGAGUUGGCGCCGCGGCGCCACACUCCAAACUCUGAAUUUUCAGUUCGCGAAGGACACAGAAUUCAACGAAAUAAACACUACAUAAACAUUAAUUUCACCAAAUUACACAUACCCACAUGUUAUAAUUCAUACAUAAUCAUUACCCAACACUUAUAGAGUAAUUUUAACCCAUUAAAACACAUAAUUACAGAAUUUGAGCAUGCAAAUUGUACUAUUCUUGAUGUUCUUGAAGUUUUGAACAUAAAUCCUAAAAUUCAACGCCACAGAUUCGUUAUAAAACCAAAUCCAACCAUUCAAAUUUCGUUUUGUUCAUUUUAUCAUGUAUAUUCACGUAUAAGUGGAAAUUUUGUAGAAACAUUUAUGGUUGACAUAUUAAAAUUAUGUAUAAGGGCCAUAUGGCCAAAUAACAUACUCUGUACAUUUUUGAAACAACAAGUCAUAAUAUUAUGAAACUUAUGAUAUGGAAUCAUAUACAAUAUAUAUAAAACAUGCUAUGCUACACGAAUUAUUACAUAUAUCCUUAACAAAGUUUCCCAAUUUACAGAGACUCACAGAAAGUAUAAAAGCCAUUUUUUUCAUAAAAACUACAUGACGUAAAAAGAAAUUGGGUUGAAUAGAAUUACCCAAGCGUAUAGUGAAAUAAUAGGAGAUGAAUUCCUUCUCAGAUGACUCUUACAAUCCUCUAAAAAAAUCUAUGAAUUCUCAACUCUUUCUCUCUAUCUCUGUCUGUUACACUUUCUAGACUUAGGCAAAUAAUGAAGAAGAAAGAAGAAGACGUAUUGUUAAUAAGGAGAAGAACUGACGCGCGUUGGUGGUCAGUUACCUAUCAUGGGUAACUGCUCCCAACCCCCAUUAGUGUCAUGUUUGGCUAGAUAGAAAAGGGUUUAAAACCAUUUAAUUUAAUUAAACUUUAUCAUAUAGUUUAAAUAAUGUCACACCCAUUAUAAAAUAAAUCUAAUAUCUUAUUUAAUUUACUUUAAAUAAAAUAUCAUGAUUCUUCAAUAAUGCACAUAGUCACAUAAUUAAAUUUUCUCAUUUAAUAAUAAUAUCAAAUUAUUAAAUCUCUAAUUAAUAAUUAAAUUAAUUAAAAUACAAUCAGGCUUAUUAAAUAUUUCUUUUAAUACAAUAAGCUCACAUAAUCANNNNNNNNNNNNNNNNNNNNNNNNNNNNNNNNNNNNNNNNNNNNNNNNNNNNNNNNNNNNNNNNNNNNNNNNNNNNNNNNNNNNNNNNNNNNNNNNNNNNGUAAAUAAAUGAGGAUAAUUCUUUAUCAUAUUCUCUUCGAGUUCCCAAGUAGCUUCUUCAGCAUUGUGGUUCCUCCAAAUUACCUUAACAGAAGGUAUUACUUUAUCUCUCAGAACUUGUUCUUUGCGGUCGACAAUUUGAACUGGAAUUUCUUCGUAAGAUAAAUCUUUAUCAAAAUGUAGGGGUUCAUAUUCAAUCACGUGCUUGUAAUCGGGUUUGUAGGGUCGUAGGACUGAGACAUGGAAAAUGUUGUGGACAUUCUCUAGAGCUGGAGGUAAGGCUACCUCAUAAGAAACUUCUCUGACCCUUCGUAGAACUUCAAAGGGUCCAAUGAAUCUUGGGCUUAAUUUCCCUUUCUUUUCGAAUCUGAUCUUUCCCUUCCAGGGAAAGACCUUUAAAAACACAUAACUACCCGGCUCGAACUCAACAUUCUUACGGUGUGGAUCGGCGUAUUUCUUCUGUCUAUCUUGAGCUGUUGUCAAUCUUGUUCGGAUCACUUUGACUAUUUCUGCUAUUUGUUGUACCAAUUAUGGGCCUAGUAAUUGUCUUUCGCCAACUUCGUCCCAAUAUAGCGGAGUUCUGCACUUUCUGCCUAAUAGCGCUUCAUAGGGUGGCAUGCCAAUACUAGCGUGGUAACUGUUGUUGUACCCGAACUCAACGAGCGGUAGAUGAUCAUCACAAUUUCCUUUAAAGUCCAUUAUACAAGCUCUUAAUAUAUCUUCCAAGGUCUGAAUUGUUCUUUCACUCUGUCCAUCUGUCUGAGGGUGAUACGCCAUACUCAUUCGCAACUGUGUCCCCAUGCAUUCCUGUAGACGAUUCCAGAAAUUCGACGUAAAACGCGGAUCUCUAUCAGAAACAAUUGACACUAGAACUUCGUGUCUUGAAACGAUCUCUUUCACAUAUAACCUCAUCAACUGAUCUAAGUUGAAUCUAAUUUUGAUCGGAAGGAAGUGUGUGGAUUUCGUCAAUAGGUCAAUAAUAACCCAUACUGCAUCGUAGCCUUUCUAAGUUGUCGGUAGGCCAACCACGAAAUCCAUUAUAAUAUGCUCCCAUUUCCAUUCUGGGAUCUCUAAAGGUUGUAAUAACCCACUCAGCCUCUGAUGUUCUGCUUUAACUUUCUGACAUGUCAGACACUUGGCAACAUAUUCUGCAACCUCUCGUUUCAAGUUUGGCCACCAAAAAUGUUGACGAAGAUCUUGGUACAUCUUGGUGCUACCAGGGUGAAUCGAAUAUCUUGAGUUGUGAGCCUCGCUCAAAAUUUCUUUCUUAAUCUCUGGUACUGGCGGUACCCAAAUUCUGCUCUUAAAUCUUAGUAGUCCCUCACUGUCUAUUUUGAAUCUCGGUUCAGUCCCUUCAGAUAUCUUCUUCUUCACUUUCUCACAUUCUUCGUCCUGAAGUUGAGCCUCCUUAACUUUAUCCAGUAAAGUUGUACCAGCUUGCAUCUGGAACAACUUCUCAUCGAUCUCCAUAGGAUACUUCACUUCUAAUUCCAGCUUUUCCAAUGCUAAAAUUAGCUCCUCUUGAGCGGUCAACAUCAUGAAUUUCUCCCGACCUUUUCUACUUAGGGCAUCGGCCACCACAUUUGCCUUACCCAGAUAGUAUAAAAUCUCACAAUCAUAGUCCUUAAUUAAUUCCAACCACCUUCUUUGAAGCAUGUUCAAGUCUUUCUGUGUAAAAAUAUAUUUCAGACUCUUGUGAUCUGUAUAUAUUUCACACUUCUCCCCGUAAAGAUAGUGCCUCCAAAUUUUUAAAGCGAAAACCACUGCAGCUAACUCCAAGUCAUGGGUCGAAUACCCCUUCUCAUAAUCUUUCAGUUGUCGUGACACAUACGCAAUGACUUUGCAAUUUUGCAUAAGCACAUAACCAAGUCCUUUAUACGACGUAUCACUAUAAACCAUAAAAUUUCUUGUGUCAUCUGGAAGAGAUAACACAAGUGUUGUACUCAACCUCUUCUUUAAUUCUUGAAAGCUUUCCUCACACUUUUCCAUCCAAAACAAAUUUCACCGAUUUUCUAGUCAAAUUCGUCAACGGAGUUGCAAUCUUGGAAAAAUCCUAAAUGAAUCUUCUGUAAUAACCUGCCAAUCCAAGAAAACUUCAUACUUCCGACGGUGUCUUCAGCUGAUCCAAGUUAAUUACAGCUUCGACUUUGGAGGGAUCCACCGAAUUUCCAUCCCUAUCAAUCACAUGUCCAAGAAAUUGUACUCUUUUAAUCAAAAAUUCACAUUUCAAAAACUUAGCAUACAACUUCUCUCUUCUCAAAGUCUCUAAUGUCAUCCUCAAAUGCUCUUCAUGUUCUUCCUUGGUUUUUGAAUAUACCAAAACAUCAUCUAUAAAUACCACUACGAAUUUGUCCAAAAACGGCUUGAACACUCCAUUCAUUAAGCCCAUAAAUGCUGAAGGAGCUUUUGUUAGACCCAAUGACAUUACCAAAAAUUCGUAGUGACCGUAUCGUGUUCUAAAUGCUGUCUUCGGUACAUCCUCUGGUCUCACCUUCAGUUGAUGAUAACCAGUUCUCAAAUCUAUCUUUGAAAAGUAUCUUGCUCCCUUUAAUUGAUCGAACAAGUCGUCAAUUCGCGGUAAUGGAUACCUAUUCUUGAUCGUAACCUUAUUCAGUUCUCUGUAGUCUAUGCAGAGUCGCAUUGCUCCAUCCUUCUUCUUCACAAAUAAAACCAGCGCUCCCCAGGGUGAUACGCUGGGUUGAAUGUACUUCUUAUCCAGUAAUUCUUGUAGUUGGACCAUCAGUUCUUUCAUCUCUACCGGUGCCAUUCGGUACGGUGCCUUCGAUAUUGGAGCCAUUCCUGGAGCCAAAUCGAUUACAAACUCAACUGCUCUAUCUGGAGGAAGUCCUGGCAAAUCAUCUGGAAAUACGUCUGCGAAAUCUCUCACUACUGGUAUCUCAUCUAUUUUUGGAUUCUCUUUCCGACUAUCGACUAUGUAAGCUAGAUAUCCUACACAGCUUUGUCUUAACAAUCUCCUGGCCUACAUCAUCAUCAGACAACUCGCUUGUCUAGGCGACUUGCUACCAUAAAACACAACCUUUGACGGAGUCAUAAGGUUAAUAUGCUUCUUCUGGCAGUCAAUUACCACCCCACAAUUGGAUAGCCAAUCCAUACCCAAAAUAACGUCGAAUUCUUUGAGUCGAAUAGGGAUAAGAUCUACGUUCAUGAUAUUACCCUUAAUAUCUACUCUAGAGUUCUUGUGCACAUACUUAACAAGGAUUAAUUCUAUAUUCGCAAUUUCUAUGUUCAUGGGGUAUUCUAACUCGUCCUUAAACAAUUCUAAGUUCUUAGCAAAGUCAUUGGAUAUAAAUGAGCAAGUAGCACCCGAAUCAAAUAAUACAUAAGCACUAAUUUUAUUGAUCGGAAUGAUACCUGACACCACAUCGCGAGACUGCACCGCAUCUUGCACUGUCAUGUUGAACGUUCUGGCUGUUGGUCGAUUGGUUGCGGUUGGUCCUGCAAUGGUCAGAGUGCUUCCAAUAGUAUUUCCUCUAUUUCCUCCUGAACUCGUCCCUCCUGAUCCCUUCUUAGGACAAUCUCUUGCAAGAUGGUCCUUUGAGCCACAUGUGAAGCAAGCACCCUUCUUUGGGUUCGAACAGUUUGGUGCUAUGUGGCCUUCCUGACCAUAAUUGUAGCACACUCGCUUCCCUUUCAUGAAAACUCCCAAAUGAGUUUUUUCGCAGGUUGGACACGCUUCUAUCUUCUUCUUCUGCCCUCCCUGUUGAAUUCCAAACGAAAAAUUUUCAGACCACUUCCUCUUCUGACUGUGAUUACCCCCAGUACUACUCCCACCAGUUUUGUUGUUACCUUCAUUCUCACUUUUCUUUUUCUUCUGAUCCUGAUUGUACUUAGUGACCGCAACGCUUCCACCUUCAGUGAGUAUGGCCUUCUUUAACACUCCCACAAAAGUGUUCAAUUGGAACAUUGACACUUUGCUAUACAACCAGGGCUUUAGUCCCUGUUCGAAUCGUUUUGCCUUCCUCUCGUCGGUGUGCACUUGGUAUGUGGUGAACCUAGCCAACUCGUUAAACCUUGCCGCGUAAUCAGCUACUGACAUACUCCCUUGUUUCAACUCUAGAAACUGAACUUCCAUCUAAUUUUGUGAACUUACCGGAAAGUACAUCUCGAAGAACAUUUCUUUGAAUCUUUCCCAGGAUAUUACACCCUCACCUCCUCUCACUUUGUUUGCCUGCCACCAAUAACUAGCUUCAGAGUUCAGCAUAAACGUUGUAUACGCGGUUUUCUGAUCCUCUCUUACUCGAGCGACGUCGAACACCUUCUCCAUCUCCAUCACCCAAGUCUGAGCUUCGAUUGGGUUUAUGGAACCCUUAAACUCUGGCGGUCCCACCGCCUUGAAGUCCUUAAACGAAGUGUUUGGUGGAACUUGUGGUUGAUUGUUAAUUGCCCCAGCCAAAAGGUUCACCAACUGCUGAACAGGAUUAGCAUUGGCGUCAGUGUUGUUCAUUGGUUCUUCUUGUGCUUGCUGACGGUUUUGUCUUCUUCUAGGCGGCAUAUUUUUAAUACAUCAAUUCAAAUAAACUCUGACAUUCUCAUUUAAUUCAAAAGUUUUAACAUCAAUAGAUAACAUCACUGCUAUUUACAUCCACUAUCCCGAGAUAAAGAAUCUACAGGAUUUAAAACAUCAAAAUAUUCCUUUGUUUAUAAACACAUCGGAUUUUACAUCAUUAACUAUCAAAUAGUUUUCAUAUAAUUAAACUAAUACUAUCACUGCCUAUUAAGACGUUGGAUAGCCUUGCCACGUUCUUCUUCCAUAAUACGAGACAUCGUCCUACGAUCAAGCAUGUAUGAUGGUAGACCUUCAAACUGGAUUGGGUAUUUCAUAACUCGAUCCUGGGCCGUAUCCAUUGCAUUGUGAAAUGUAGAGUACAUCUCCCUAAGCUUAGCCUACUUUGCACGGCGAUCAUCUUCUACAAGAUCAGCACGAUGUGACUCUCUUACCCAGCCUUCCUUUGCUAUGGCAAGCCUUUCUAAGCUCUCUUUCAGAUCCUUCUUCAACUUUUCUAUUUCUGCGGACUUAUCCUCGGUUUGACCCUUCUCGUGAACCAGAUCCCACUCCACGUUUCCUAAAUGUGUGUGAAGAGUCUCAAUCUCCUCAUCCUUCUACUCAAUAGUACUUUGCUGUAUAACAAUCUUCUGUCAGCUCCUGAACAGUGUCCUGCAACUCUAUGUUACGAUAAUAAAGUGCAUCAUACAUCUCAGCAUCAAUGGAGUUCGGUGGGAACUCCUUUUCCUCCUCUUCUUCCUCUUCCUCCUUAGAAUCCUCCUCUGGAUAGGUCUCAGGCUCAUGCCCCUGACCAACAACAGUGAUCAAUGGAGAUGGCUCUCUCUGUACCAGCUGUUCCCUGAUGACAUGAAUGUCGCGGGGCUCCUCCUCUGUAGGUACUCGGGGUUCCUCCUCCCCAGCUCGACUAGCUCCUCCAGCAUCCAACAUCCUGACAACAAAAUUUUAAGUUUUAGUUACAAAUCCGUGCUAGCGAACACAUAGAUUAACACAUAAGCACAUAAAGUCUUUUAUCAUCUUCAAUGAAUUUAGAAAUUCAUUUCAUAGAACUCGAUAAGAGUUUUACCACCACUAUGUUCUCAAUCUCCUACAAGGCUACUACCUAAGGUUGUUCCCCCACCUAAGGUUCAUAACCUACAGCUUUGAUACCAACCUGUGACACCCCCAAAUCCGAUACUUCCAUUUCCACAGGAUUUGGUGUUCACUAUACAACAUCAUCUAUCUAUCAACCCAUAAAUAAAUGUAAACCAUGUAAUCUAUAGAAUUAAAUAAUAAAUCUCCCCUUAAGGGGUUACAUCAACUGCACAAUAAUAAUAAAAUCCCAAGUUACUCUAACCUUAAAACAUCUGUGCCGAAAUCAUAUACAAAUAAGUCUCAAGUAACAUCAAUUCUAAUCAUCAUUACAUAAUCACAAUAAUAAAACAGUCUCCAUUACUUGCUAAUCUUGCCCUUUCCCUUACUAGUGGAAGGUUCGUCUGCUCUUUCGUUCUUAACUGCAAUGUUAUUAUUACGCAAGAGUGAGCACGAUUACCCACAAGUAUAACAAUAUAACAAAUGAAUAACAACAUGCGAAUGAAUUAACAACUUCUGAAAUAAAGCUAAAAUUUUGAAUCAAGAAUGAAUAACAAGAAUCAAAAGAACUUCUGAGGGUCAUAAGACCUUGAACUAUGUCCUAGGUUGUCAAGUGUUUAUACUUGAAACCUUUAACAGUCAUAAGACUAUGGACUCUUCUUCUCGUACUUAGGGGGAUCAGCCCUUAGUACCAUACUGUGCACAAUAUCUUAACGCUAACGCGUAUGUAAUCCUCUUUACAGGAUUGUUCAUCUCAGUUUGACAUUCGAGUCCGCACCAAAGGAAGUUUGGUUUGGAUAAUUCAUCAAGGGUUCUGAAAUUUAAAACGCUCAUCAACUAUGGACUAGUCAAAUCAAGUCUAACAAGGUUUAACAAUAACUGAUAAUUUAACUUGGAUACAAUCUCAAAAGUAUACAAUAGAAUAAUUAUUAUAUAACAACAUCAUGUUUGAAGGAUUAAUAAGCUUUAAUAUACGAAACAGACUUAAUCAAUAACAAUGAGAGUUUGCUUAAUGAUAACAAGUAGGGUUAGGAAACUUGCCUCGUGCAUAGAUUACACGUUAAUAAAACUCGUUCUUUGAUUUAAAUCCUACAUAUCAUUUACAUUCACAAUACCAGUCAAUUAUAACUUACUAAACAUCACACGUUUAUUCUUUGUCUAACUCGAGUUCAUGACUAUACUUAGUCAAUUACUACACUUAUUGUCAAAAAUUAAGACUUCACAAACAAUAAGGUAACUAUGCAUUUGAUCAUUCAAUUCACACGUAAUUGUGUUAAGGAUGUGCUAAGAAUUUAUUUUAACACCUCAUUAUAUGUCUAACAAGUCUUUAUAUUCAUUAGACUAAGUUACCAUCACAUUUCUAUACUCGAACACUUUAAAAAAAACAUUUUCUGGACAUUCUGCUAAGUGGCGCUGCGGCGCCACUUUUGUAGUGGGUCUUGGCGCUGCGGCGCCGUGGCACUGCGGCUUGGUACUUGGUGCUGCGGUGCGGUGGCGCUGCAGCACGGUGGCGCUGCGGUGCGGGAAAUGAACUAGGAGUUGGCACCGCGGCGCGACACUCCAUCCUCCCACAAUACCUUCAACUCGUUUAUUAGAGGUCUCAAGUAAACAUCUAGGUUCUUUCCAGGACUCUUGGGACCAGGAAUCACAAGUGAAAGAAACAAGUAUGGUUGUUUCAUACAUAUCUAAGGAGGCAAGUUGUACGUAGUAAUAAUCACAGGCCACCAGGAGUACGGAACAGCAGAGUGGCCGAACGGGUUGAAACCAUCAGUGGGCAAUCCAAGCCUCACAUUCCUAGGUUCCAAUGCAAACCCAAGAUGUGCUAAGUUAAAAUCCUUCCAAGCCUGCCCAUCUGCGAGAUGGUUUAGUUCCCCAUCUUUAGCUUGAGAUUUCACAUGCCAAGUCAUAUGUUCAGCUGUUCUAGAAGACAUGUACAAUCUUUUUAGCCGAUGUGUAAUUGGAAAAUACCUUAAAAUCUUAAAUGGUAUAUUUGUUUUUGUUUUUGUCACACCCUCUUUAUUAGGCAUAAACCGAUCAUGAAUGUAAAACGUGCACCUUGUCUCAUGUUCAUCUUACUAAUAAAAUAACAUGCAAUCAUUCAGACAUACAUCAAUCUUUUGGUAUCCAAGACCCAACUUCUUCACCAUUUUCUUACAAUAGUAGUAGUUUUCGGGCAAUUUUUCACCCUUAGGCAACAUACUCUUAAUGGCCUUCAAAAGCGACUCAAAACACUUAUGGCGCAUGUUGUAAUCAGCCUUAAUGUUGAGUAAUGUCACCACUGCAGACAAUGUAGUGUGCUUGGUGCAACCAUGCCACAACGGUUCUCUACCUUCAUCUAACAACUUAAAGAACGCUUUGGCAUCAGAAUUCAUAGGUUGCUCUCUACCUUGUUCCUAGUCAAAAUCCAGCCUGUAAUAUUACGAACCAUUUCAUUCGUACGAUGGGUACUGCUGCCCGGAUUGUGUACGUGUGAUGUACCACUAUCUCUUCUCUGACCAUGUGCCCACGAGCAUUCUUCUUAAUUUUUCAUGAACCCCAAAACAAGUAAAUGAUAGUUGAUAAUGUCUCUGUCCAUGUAAUUUACAUUCUUACAGUUCAAACAAGAACAUCUUAUCUUCUUCUGACCAUUUACACAUUCCGGGUUACUAUACGCAUAAUCCAAAAACACUUGGCAACCAGCUCUAAAUUUAGCUAAAGCACCUAUCUGGACACCUGACUUUUGUCAACUCAUCCAACUAUGGUCUGAAUAGAGGUCCAUGAUACCAUGAUACCUACUGCAGACAAGAAUUAUUGUAUUCCCAUUGUUAGAGAUUUACAAUUCAGCUCAAUGCCAUUUAUGAUGCUUAUAAAUAUAUAUAGAUGUAUAUGUACAUAUAUAACUUAAGUGUGCAUUAUAAAUGCUGCUUUGGGAAUGGAAUGAGGAUACAUACCAAAACAAGUAACAUAGCAUAAGAUGGACUACCCAAAGGCAUGCUAUAUUGUUGUGGAUCUCAAAUUAGAAUGAAGUAUGAUCCUAUGUCAUCCUACUUAUUUUAAUUGAAAACAUAUAUAGUAGCCUAAAGACAAUAGAUUCCUAGGGAUAAAAUAUGAAACAUUGCAUCAUACAUGGUCUGCAUAUGCAUUGGGACAAGUUUACAUCAUUUGUUUUUGCAUAUACGUAGGUAUUAUAUAAAUAUAUGCCUCUUUUCAAUUACCCGACCAACGAAAAUUUUUUGCCAUAGUCUCCCCUAUAAUAUGGACUAUCCACAUGCACGAGGGCAUGCAUAAAUUGCCAUUUAUAGGCACCCAACACAGAACCCAAGAUAAAUAUAUCAAUUCCCAAUAAAAACAAUUGUAGGCAGACUCAUAUAUGGCAUGUGACUUUGCGAGUGAUGGGAUAAAUUUCAGUAUAUUAUCAUAAUAUUAAAUUAAAAUUAGUAGCAUUUGUGACACCCCCGAAUCCAGAUACUCAAAUUUCCCUCAGAUUUGAUGUUCACUCAACAAAAUAAUUAACAUUUAACUACCCAUAAUAAUGAUAACCAUAAAAUUGAAAUGGAAAUCCUCCUAAUAUAGGGUUAUAACAUCUUAAACGAAUAAAUCUCAGGGUAUCUAACCUUAAUACAUCAGUUGCGGAAACAUCUUAAACAAAUAAGUCUUAAACAUUACAUCAUAAGUCUUAAUAUAAACAUUCUCAAAUAUUAAAUAAGUCUUUAUCAUUUGCUUGUUUUGCCCUUGCCCUUACUUGUGGAUGGCUCAUCAACUUUCUCAAUCUUAGCUGCAAUGUUAUUUUGCAAGAGUGAGAAACAAUUGCCCACAAGUUUAAUAAUAGAAUAAUAAUAAUAACAUGCGAAUAAACAAUGGAUACUGAACCAAAAGAAGUCUCGGCUUUUGAAUCAAGAUUAGAACAGGAAUCAAAAGUACAUCUGAGGGUCACAAGACCAUGAACUAUGUUCAAGGUUAUCAAGUAUUUCUACUUUAAACCUUUAACAGUCGUAAGACUAUAUGGACCUAACUUCUCAUACUUAGGGGGAUCAACCCUAUAUACCAUGUAUGUGCACAACAUCUUAACGCUAUCGCGUAAUAUAAUCCCAUGUAGUAGGGUUGUUCAACUCAGCUUUGCCAUUAGAGUCCGCACCGAAGGAAGUUUGGUUUGGAUUGAUCUCAAGGGUAAUUUAGAGUUUUAUAAUCAUGAACUAAGGAUUAGUUGAAUCAAUAAGGAUUUAAUAAUCAUUCACGAGUUCGUUAACAACGUAAUAUAUAAAGGAAUACAAUAGAAAUGAUAGAAUAUUGUUGAAUCAUAAGUAGAUAAGCAUCAUAUACAAGACAUGGUUCCAUAAAGGAAUAGUAGGCUUAACCAAAACAUAGGCAUUGAAUAAUAUAAGAAGCCUUGCUUGAAUAAUAAGCUAAGGUUUGCUCAAUAAUUAGAAUUUGAAAAGCUUGUACAACUAUAAUCAAGUUAGAGAUAAGGAACUUAAUCAAUAAUGAUAUAAAAUAACAAUUUGCUCAAUGUAGAAUUAGGGUUUAGAAACUUGCUCAAUGUAAAGAAGUAAGGUUUAGAAACUUGCCUCGUGCAUAGGCUAAAUGAUUACUACUCAUGUUCACCACAAGUCCUACACACAUACCAUAUGCAUUCACAACAUUCAUUAGUUACACUCAUAUUAACCUCAUAGGUUUAGUUCCCUCUUUUAAUACAACUUGUUAACUUAGUUUAAGUUCUGCCCAUUACCAUCAGUCUUAUAUACAAGACUGAAGUCUCACAUCUUAAGUUUGAUCAUCAAUACAUCUUCUCAUGAACAUAACGUUUAGCCCUUAUACAACUUAUCAAAUUACCAUAAAAUUUCAUCACAUGUAUGUUAACAAUCUGAUAUGACAUCAUAUUACAUGUCUAACACAUUAUUAUGUUCAUUAGCCUAGGUUAGACUAACAUGUAGUGGAGUGCACAUGACGAAAAUUGAAAUUGUCCAACUCUGUUACCCCUACCAGGGUGGGAUUUUAUAUAGAAAUAAGACCCGCUGGGACGGAGAAAUAAGCCUGGUAACACCCUCCGGGGCGGGGUCACCCAGAUACAAUUUCUGCAGUUUGUGACUGCACUAUUCAUCAGACCAAAAUUCAUGAAUUUCACAUGAAAUCAGUAGAUUUAACAAACCCAAAAGACAUAGACUUCACACAAUUAUUACCAAGCAUGCAUACAUCGAUUUUAAACAACAAAACUACUGUAUUCAUCAGAUUUAACCCCUUUAAAUUCAUGUUCUUGCUAAAAAGCUCAUUUUAGACAUCCUUAGCAAAUCAUCACGCCACAGAUUCAUUUCUUGACCAAAUCAGUUCGUGUAACAUGCAUUGUUUUCGUAUUUAAACAUAUUAAUACAAUCAAUCGUCAAUUUACAGAUUAUAACAUGGAUUAAAUACUAAUUUUGGUUCUAAAAUUAGUCUUUUUGUACUUUUUAUAACAAAACUUAAAUCUUUAUUUUAAAGCUUAUUUCAUACAAAUUUAACUUCUAAAAAUCAUUUUUAAGUCAAAUAUAACAGAUUAUAUAUACAUGUUAACAUAUAUAACAACUUAUCUAAUCGAUUCAUCAACCAAAACCCCAAUUUUAACACCAAAAUCAUAUAUAUUGUAUAUUUAUCAUCAAAACUCAAGUUCUUCAUGCUUUAACAGAUUUCAUGAAUUUUGAUUACUCUAAAUCAAGGAUAAUUGAUAUAAAACUUGUUAUAAACACAUACAAUACCAUAUUUCUAACAGUCAUCCAUAAAAUAUCAAUUAUAGAGAACUAAAAUAUGUUUUUAUGGAAAAACUUAAGAACAUAAUAAACAAGGAUUAGAAUUUGAAUUCUCACCCUUUGAUUCUUAUUUAGAUUCUAGGAAUUCCUCCUAUGAUUCUCCCAGUCUUCUUCCUUAAACUCAAUUCUCUCAAAUUAUCUUUUUUCUCUUUGUAAUUUCUCUGACUUAGGUUUUAGGAAAUAAAAAUGCGUAGAAGACACAAGACAGAUAUAAUGCAUAUAACUGAUAUACAUGGGUAUCAGUUAUGCGCAUUAAGGCUCAACAGUUACCCAUGGUCCUAAGGUAUUGUUUGGUUUUUUUCAAAUUGACUCCCUUUCCCAUUAUUUUAAUUAACUUGUUUAUUAUAUAGUUUAUUUGUCACACUUAACUAAUCAAAUAAUAUUAUUUAAAUUUAAUUAAAUUAAAGGCAAUAUUACCCAUUAAAUCACAUCAUCGCAUAAUUAAAAUUAUCAUUUAUUAAAUAUAACACAUAAUUUAUUUUUUCAAUAAAUCUCUAAUUAAUUAUUUAAUUAAUUAGAACAAUACUAAAAUUAUUUAACAACUCAUUGAAUUUAAUAAUCUCAAUUAAAUCCACACUUUGAAUUAUAACAUUAUUCCUCAUUAAUUUAAUUAAUCACUACAAAAAAAUAGACAUUUGGCAAUAAUUUUUUGUGCAAUGACUUAUAAAGUCAUUGCCAAAAAUGCAUGUUUAGCAAUGAAAUUUGUCAUUCGUUGCAGUUUAUGAAAGGCUUUCAUUUUUCAUAACGAAAUUCACAAGUCGUUGUAAAAAUUUGUUGCCAAAUCGUUGGCGGAAAAAAAAACACACCGCCUAUUUUCUUUUUUAUAACCGAUGAGAUUUCUUCUCAUCGUCGGCAACAAAAAAAAAUUUGUUGCUAUAUUUUGUUGCCUAAUAUAGGCCACAUUCAUAGGCAAUAAUUUUUUUUCGUUGCUUAUUUAAUACAUUUUUUUUGCAAUGACUAGUAAAUUGUUACCCAAAAUUAAGACAAAGCCAAUAAGCAUGCCUCAGUUUUCCCCCAAAACGCUUCAUUUUUCAUUAAAAUUUUUUUAUUUAUUUGGACACAAUUUUAUACAGUGAAAUGUUUCACUCCGUUCGUCUCAAAAUAAAUGCCCAGUUUUUAUAUUUUUUAAAGUUAUAAUUUUUGAAAUUAAAAUUGAGCACAUAUAGAUAUAUUUUCUAAUUUACAAAAAUUAAAGUUUAUAGUUAAUUAGAUGUAGUUUAUAAUGAUCAUAUUCGCACACUUAUAAUUUUGAAAAAAAAUAUAAUUAAUUUUCAAAAUAAUUUACAUAAAUUUUUCUUGUAACUCGUUAUUUUACAUAUAUACUUUUUGACAAGGGAUGGGCAAAGAAUCAAAAUCGCUCCCGAAAUUGCACCAAAAAUUGACCAAACUGCACCGAUUAAGUCGCGCCAAUGGUUCCGGCAUAGACCAAUUAAGUUACACCAAUGGUGUGUAAGUUCUUUUUUAACUCUCCUUUUUCAAAUUCUCCUUUUUUCUUAACUUGUAAAUUUUUUUAUAAUCAAAUAUUAAUUUCUCUUUAUAUCUUUAAUUAGAGGGUGUUUAGCAAUGACUUAUAAGUUGGUCAAACUAAAUUUAAGUCAUUUGUUAUUAUUUAGUGUUUGACAAUAACUUAAAUUUUAACUUUUUUUUGAAUUACAAGUCAUUAUUAAAUUUUUUCAUGCUUCAUGUGCUAUAUUUUUUAUGUAUUAGAUAAAUUUUACUACCAUCUAUAUAUAUAUAUAUAUAUAUAUAUAUAUAUAUAUAUAUAUAUAUAUAUAUAUUAAAAUAUUCAUAAUUACGUUAUAUAAAUAUUCAUAGUUACUUUGUCGACGUCGGGAUUUUUAUUGUCCCUUUUCUGUUCUGGUCUUUUGGUGUUCUCAUGUUAGGUGAAAUUUGUUUGAAAAAACAAGUUGUGAAAAGGUCCGAUAUGUAUAUGUCGGCGAUUGGACUGUAAGAGUCGCCAGUUGGUAUUUUUAAAUGGUUGCACCAACUCAACCGAGAAAAGGUUUGCACAUUAACCUAGUGAUGUAACACUGCUUAACAGAUCUGUGAAACCGAGAUUCGUUAGGGUCCGGGGGCUUGAUUAUGCGGAGAAAAGGUGUUAGGCACCCCCCGACAUCUGUGUUACCACGGUGACCGCCACUUUUCAAUUAAACUAUUAUAUGAAUGUGUGUAUGUGUGUGUGGGUCAAUGUGCAAUUAUCGGGAAGUAGUGAUAUGUCUCGUUUGCACCUAUAUACAAAGGGUUUGAAUUUUGUAUAAAAGUUUAGUUUUAACAAGAUAUAACAAUGAUAUUUUGUAAAAGAGGUUUUCAAACCCUUAUGCUCAAUAGUAAUUGAGGCCUUUGAUACUUCCAUUUUAUUAUGUGUUCAGUUUAACUGCUUUUAUGUUUGAGAUGUGAGGCAUCUUCGAGAAAAUAAGAUAUAUAGCAGUGCCGAAUUCCUUAUGGGCAUGAGAGACAUCUAAGGAAAUUCAAACACUGUGAAUAAUUUAAAAGCUGGAUACAACUGAAAAUGUCCAUCACGGGAACCGAAUCUAGAUCCAGAAGACUGAAUUUGUGAUCACAUGAUUCCUAAACUCACAUGAUGUUGUAGUUUGUAUGAAAGCUGUAAGCAGUUAAAUAUAUAUAAAAGCUAUAAAUAUAUAUAUAUAUAUAUGAACGAUCAACCACCACGGAGUAAACUCCAUGGGGAUUAGAAAUGUAAAUAUAUAAAAGCUGUAAAUAUAUAUAGAGAUAAUCAACCACCACGAAGUAAACUCCAGGCGGGACUUAAUGUAAAAUAAAGCAGUAAAAGGCCACAAAGUAAAUUUCAGGCCUAACAAAAAUCUAAAUAUAUAUAUAUAAGCAAUAAACGCUCCGGAUGUGAAUCCAGGCUCAAUCGAGGCAUAACUCGAUGAUGUUAGUAUAAAUAUAUAUAUAAGUAUAUAUAUACAAAAGAAAUAAAAAGCCACGGACCGAAGUCCGGGCAUACGCACACAACACGACUCUCAAAGUGAAUAAUUGUGAGUGCAGAAAGUGGAGAAAGGCUUUAAGAAAUGUAAGAAGUCUUACAGCGGGAUGUCAAGAAGACUUCAAAUAGCUUUAAUUGAAUGAACACUUGGUUUUCACCGGUAAAAUAUAGCAAAAUAUAAGCUCGCAAGUGUUUAAAAUGAGAAAGCACUAAGUUUAUAGUGUGUACAAAGCAAAAUUGACUGGGCUUCCUCGCCUUUUCUCUUUCUAAAAUGGCCACCCCAAGCCCUUUAUUUAUAGAGGGGGGAGCCACAAGUGUACCUACGGCAGCCGCAGAUGUAUCUGCGGUUGCCCGAGGUGCCCCAGGCUCCGUGGGUCCCGCCGUCUCAAAGUACGUGCAUGCAUGCAACGCGUUGUCCACUCGAACCUUCAUAACUUUCAAUCCGGGUAUCCGAUUAAGGCGUAUAAUACCUUUUCGGAAUGCUGUUGUCGAGAGCUACACAAUGACAUGUGAUAAGAGGUUAUACGAAGUCGGGAAGAUAGGGCCAUGCCUAGAUCUUUGGGUCUUCAAAUUCCAUCAAGUGUGCUGUCUUGUGUAGAAAUCACUCGGGAUUUAAGCUAUGGUUCUUGUAGGACACUUCUGUGUAGAAUGUAUGUUGAAAUGUUGUUGAGAUGGCGCAAUGUGGGAUCGAGGUGGCAAAAUGAUGAUUUUUCCCUUCACUGGGGUUAUCUCCGGUUUGGGCUAAUUUAGCAGUCAUUGCUCAGGGUUAUCUCUGAGAUUGGGCUGCUGUGAGUACUAAAGGUCCUCAGGGUUGUCUCUGAGGUGUGCCUGACCUCUUAGGGUUGUCUUAAGGGUUGGAAUUGAGUGCCUCGGGGUUAUCUCUAAGGUUGAAGCUGAUUGCAAAGGAUUGGAAUGAGCUUUUUUGGGGUUAUCUCUGGAACUGCAACUGCAUUUCUUGGAGUUAUCUCUGAGGUUGAAACUGAAACUCCUGGGGUUAUCUCCGGGAUGGAAAAACUAAUAAUUUCGGGGUUGUCUCCAGAACUGGAACUGCAUUCAUCGGGGUUGUCUCUGAGGUUAGAACUGAAACUCCCAAGGUUGUCUCCGGGACUAGACUGAGUAUCUCGAGGUUGUCUCUGGAACUGGAACUAGUUGGUCCUCCAGGGUUAUCUCUGAAAGACGAUUCUAUUCUCCUACAAUGUUAGUAAUAGGAAUACAGAAAUUUUUGAGUGUCUACAGAUGUCCCUCUUUAUCAUAUUCAUGCAAUGUAAUGGUAUGGAUAGGAUAAAGAAUACUAGACACUUGAAAUGUGACAAGAUAAUCAUAAUGCAAUGUACUGCAGCAUGAUGUAUAUGCAUGAUGUAUGUGGUUUGUUGGACCUUUUUCCAACAGGAUGUGAUGACUAUUCCCACGGCUUCUGAUGGGGACUGGAGUUAUCACUGAUGAUCAUGAAGAACUGCUUGGAUGUGUACUCCAAAGCUCUCAGGAACUUCCAGGAUGUUGACGUUGGGGUUAUCACCAAAGUCCUAAAUCCUUGAUACAAACUUCCCACUGAGGAUGUAUCUCUCAUGUACAAGAGAUUUUGGGGAUUUUUGUUCUGUCUAAUGAAGAUGUGUAUAACAUAUUCCAUCAUCAGGGAAGAUGUUCUUUCCUAGUUUGUAUUGUCAGGUCCUUCCAUUGCUCUGUCGGAGUUAUUGCCAAUAGUCUGUGUUGUCAGGGCUGCCUGACCCUCGCUAAAUGUACAUCAACGGAUGAGAUCCCUGCUGGGGAUAACGUUAAGGCUGCUUGACCUUCGUUGAUGUGUGUAUCAAUGGAUGAGAUCAUCGGAUAACUUCUGAUGCUUCGCUGGAUUUACCUUCCAGUGACUGAAUGUCGUCAAGGUUGCUCAACCUUCAUUGACGUGUGUAUCAAUGGAUGAAUUGGAUAAAGUUUUCACUGGGGGAAAAUGUUUUAGAGUUACAACCCCGGACUGAUGGCAUUGGACCUUCGUGAGGUAUUGUCGAGUUUAGUUUGCAACAUUUGUGAUCAUCGGUAUAGUAAACUUUUCAUUUGGGCAAAUACCAAUGAGUGAUAAGUAGACCCGCAGUUUGGUCUCUGAAAACUAGGAUUUCAGGCUUUUAUGCUCAAUCGCAUAUCAUCUUUUUUCCUGAUUUGACUUUUUUAGCUUGUGAGACCUCCUUUGUAACUCAAAUUAGACCAAGCCGGAGGGGUGGGCCCCACCCAGGGGAGCCGCAGGUACACCUGCAGCCAACCGUGGGUGGCUUUAAGGCACCUGUUGCUUUCAUAAGUCAUUUUCAAGUUGCGCCACACAGAGAAUCCGAGAGCUCUUCUUCAGAUUUGCUGAGUUCGGGCAGCUUUCUGCAAAAUAUGUCACCGUACAAGUGUUCUACACUAUCCUGGUAACGUAUGCAUGUCUGCUUUUCCAAUUUUUAUCCGUUGGAAAAUGAGUUAUCAUAUGAAAUGCUUCUAAACACAUAUUACUGAAUAUGCAUGCUCAUAUGACUUGAUAAAAAAUAUUUAAUACAGUAAAUGUUAAUAUUUAACCAUGCUAAACAUAAUGAUGUGAAAAAAUUUAACUUUUGAAAUAGUCAAAUUAACACUUUUUUCUGCUAUUUUUUAUCCUAUUUGAGGACAAAUGAACAAAGGUGGUAAAGCAAAGUAAUCCUGGUAAUUAGGCUACCCUUACGGAUUAUGACUUUAAUAUUUUUAUGCAUAUAGGAUGUUUAUGAUUGUGGGUAGGUGUGCUACUGAAUGACCACCUAGUCAUGCCUAUGUGCAUGUGGAUAGUCCUAUUUACAAAGGAGACUCUGGCAAAAUUUUCCAAAAUGUAGGCAUUGGGUAGUCAUGCAUUUUUAACACUACUGUAGGCAUAUGUUAAAGUAAUGCAUGCAUGCAUAUAGUCAUAAAAUGCAUUUGAAAAGCUCCAGGUUAGAGUUUACCACACCCUUUCUGAAGUGAUUUGGAGACUUGUAUCCAAAUAUAUGGAUCCGGAUCAGCCGAGUAGUUCCCGCAGGACCACUUCAGGUGUGCGGAGGAGGGCUUCUAAUGUACCUCAACCCCAUUCAGUUAGACAACCUCGUCAUUUGAUGGAGGUGGUGAUCCGUCCUAUCCGGGUUGAGGUACCAAAUGUUGAGGACGAGGAGGAGGAUGUACCGAUUGUGGACCCCACUCCUGCUACUUAUGUUCCCCGCAGGGAUCUUCCAGGCAUUCAGGUGAUGAUUCUAGAGCUCCUGAAUGAUUUGAGUUGACACCCCUCAAUUUACUUACAUGCAAACAAGGUACAAGCUGGAUUUGAUCUUCCUUUUUCCUAUAGAUGUGGAGCAAGGAUUUUGAUGUUGAUUUGCUUUAUGAUGUAGGAUCCUGGCUUUACGCAGACUCAGUCUCUCCAUUUGUUGGACUGUGAGGUGAUGAUGACGUCGAUGGAUUGGCGAUUUAUCACUGGUAUAGAGUUUGGAGGGGCGCCAGUGCCUUGUACGGCGAAUAUUACCCCGACUGUCGUCAAAUCCUUGCUAGGAGUCCUGGUUGAGGCGCUCAAGGGUAGGACAGUUCGUACAGGUCCUUUGAGUGUGGAUGUUAUGAGUGGGCUGUUGAGUGAGCCCAUACCUGAUGAUGUGAGAGUUAGGAAUCGCAUUCUUCGGCGAUUGUUCCUGAUAAUCAUUAGGGGCUACUUCAUAGCGGAUAACUCUUCCACCAUAUCAUUCACUUUGGUCAGUACCACACGAGAUGUGGACCGUAUUGGAGAGUAUGACUGGGGUUCCUAUACCUUCGCCUAUUUCCUCAAGGGUAUGCGUUCGUAGGGCUUGACGGAGGCUUGGCUAGGAUUUUACCUAUUUCUACUGGUGAGUAUUUCUCUUAUGAUUUCCCAUAUGCAGGUUAAGAGUGUUGACUGACAGCAAAUGUUUGCCUUUGUGUUGGCAGUUUUGGGCCUUUGAGAGGCUCUCAUGCUUGCGUCCUAUGAGUGUGUUAGGUUUAGAUACCUAUCCACGAGGAUGGAGAUGGCAUCACUCCAUACUGGCGGAGGUUCCUGUAGCUGAGGGUUUCACCCAUUGUCAUCUACAGUUGGAGUUCUUGACAGCUGAUGCUAUCACUUGGAUUCCCUAUUCUGGGGAACAUUUGACUGUUGGGUUUCAGGUCGGGUACCCGACUGGUUUCGAGUAUAUGAUAUCCACCCGUAGGAUUCCUCUCUUCAUAGAUGGAGGAUGGGAGCUCUAUUUGGGAGAGCGUGCUAUUAGGAGCACUAUAGAGGAGAUUCGUGUACCGAUCUUGCCUCCUGUCAGGCAUUAUUGGCCUGUUUCACAGUCGCUUGUCAGUGAUAUCCCAUUGAUGGGCGUUGACGGCUUUACUUUUUCAAAGGGUCCGUAUACUCAGGAUAUGUUCCAUCACUGGUGGUCCCCUCGUACUAUCAGAGCCCAGACCCUCGCCACUCAGUUCAUGGGGGAUAUGGUUCCUAGGUCCAUGAUGAUGACGGAUUGGAUGGUCUAUUUCUGAGAUCCGACUCAUUAAACACAGAUUGAAAGUUUGACCCGGCAGUUCGACCGGGCACAUUUCUUUAUCCUGCACUUGGGUAGAGAUCCUUCAGAGGCAGAUACUUUUGAUCCUUCCAGCUCCGGGCCUGGCCAUUUAGGUGACCUGUAUGUUUUUGUCGACGUAGAUCCUCCAUUGUAUAGGCCUGACAUCCCACUUGGUGGAGAUCCAGUGACUCAGGAGGAGUUACAUUAGGUAGACAGGAUUGAUGAUGUUGACAUUGAUACCAUUGUCUUCUUCUGAUGUGUAUUCUCGCUAUAUCUUUUGAUAGGCCUCUAUUAGAUACUGGGUGGAUGUGUCCCAUUCUUGUUAUAUCUUUUGAUAGACCUCUAUAAGUUAUUGGGCGUUUGUGCCCCAUUUCCCUGUAUUUUUAGUUGUACAGAGAUGAUGUGCUUAAGAAUGUAUGUACUAUUUUCCAUUCCCUACAUCAUAUUGCCAUCUAUUGUUGAUCAUGCAUGUAUCAUAUUAUGCAUAUGUAUGUCCAGAGAUAUUCAACAUUGACCCCUGCAUAGUCUUAUGAUACGGCCCACACAUAUGUCUUCUUCGACAGUCAACCGCAUUGAUCACAUCCCACCAGUAUUGGUAGCCUCCCGUCUGAGGUCAUGGUAUGAUAGUUUGCCACCUCCAGACCCGGUGACCGUAGAUCAGUUAUUACAACAUUCCAUGACCCUCCUGAUGUUCUAGGUUUUUGUGGGCUUUGUAGAUGGAAUGUUGGAGCAUUGGGUAUUUGAGAGGCAGGUUUUCCGAUUGGGGACCCAGGAGUCGACUCUCACCUUCGAGGAGUACGAGCGGUUGACAGUUUUGUCACUAGACAGGACUUAUGCUUGGAUGGCUAUCGAUGACAUGAGCUGCCAGUUCAUGACCCUCACCAGGCUGAGGUGUAGAGUAGUAGAGGAUGAGAUUACAUUCGGUCAUGUGGUGUCCCAGCGUUUUCUGAUAGACAAAUUUGGCUCAGUGGACAGUUAUGCACGACUUUGGGGAUUUUACCACGUCGGAGGAUCAGUGGCAUAUGGCUAGAGUAGACGUACUCAUGAUGUGCGUAGUGGCUUAUGUGUACAUGCCACUGUAUAUGGAUGAGCUGGACAUUGGUGUUAUCAUGGCAGUGAGAGCUCUCAAGGAGGGUCAUACCAUUGUGCCGAUGAUUGUGACAGAGACAUUGAGGUCGACCAUAUAUUGCCACACUUAUCCUGCAUGGGUAUUCAUAGGUAGCUCGGUCCUGAUGUAUGUGUGGUUUAUGUCACACCUGAGACCGAUUGGCACCUUCCAAUGACAUGGGUAUUAUUUUUUCCAUGAGAUAGCCAUAUCUUACUCCUUUCAUCCAGCGGAGUGUACAGACGCUAUAUUCUGUUCGGUGUUUUUGGUAGGGAUCGGAGAUCCGUUUGACAUUUUGCCGUGUACAAGGCUUAGUUCACCCUACAGCUUCAUUACUCAUGCAUCUGGCAUGGAUUAUCUCCCUCUGGCUGGUUUGAGGGGAAUGACCACUUAUCACCCACUGGCUGUGUGUCACAGUUCGACCAGUUUCAAGACGUCCAUCCUUUUGAGGGGGCAUUAGGUCAGCGUUUGGCUUCUUGCCAUUUGUUAGAAGAUGACAGAUCUAAAGUGUAUGCAUGUUAGGAUCAGCGUGAGCUAGCUGAGUUUUCAGUUAGCCAUUUGGCCUGUUUGGCAGAGUAUUCUGCAUGGAUGGAGAUAGAAACUACAUCAGUUGCAAUAGUAUCCACAGUAUCGGGGAUUGAUUAUGAUGGUGGAGAGCCCGUAGAGGACAUUGAUUCUCCUACUGAGGAGUUGUUUGCUGGUUUGACAACAACUCUUGUUGAUUCUCCCAGUAUAACUGCUACUAUGACCCCGCAUUCAGCAGAGUAUUUAGAGCAGAGCCUGCAUCUGAUGACAUUUGAGAGAGAUCAGGCUAGGGCCUUGAUGUUGACAGCUCUUGCUGGUAGAGAUGUUGCUUUAUUGGAGAGAGAUGAUGCUUUAACUCAUAGAGACACCACUAUUGCUAAGCAUGAUGAGACUAGAUCAUCUAGAGAUGUAUUGAUUAUUGAGUGGGAUGGCGCUAUAUCUGCCCGGAAUGUAGCCGUUACUGAUAGUACUACAGCGAGGUCCCAUACUACUGCUAUUGUUGCAGAAAUGAGGGCUUUUAUUGAUGAGCACAGUGUCACCAUGCAGUUGGCUGUGGAUUUGUUGGCUCGUGUAGAUACCCUUAGGCAGGAGCUCACAGCGUUACCUCUUUUUUCAGAGAGAGAUGCCAUGUUGGACUUGAUAGCUCGCAUAUACACUGAUUUAUAGAUGGGCUUGUAUUUUUCUGCACAGUCUAGCUUAGCCAUUUUGUCAUGUACAGUACAUAUUGUAUAUAUCAAACAUCAUUAUAUAUGGCAGGAAAAUAUAUUUUGAUUCACUUCCCUUUUAGUUGUGCCUUGUUACAUGCUUGAUAUUUGUAUGCUUCUCUAGGACUUGUGAUCUUGAUGUAUUUUGAACUCAUCCUUGAUGGGUGGACAUUGAGAUGUCUCAGGAUCUUUCAGAAUGGAUCGUUGAUCUGUGUGUAUUCCCUACCCUUUGGUGUAUUGGGACUGGUUUCUGUAUGUAGUAAUGGGGAGGAGUGUGCCUUUCCUCUCUGAGGUUGACCCCACCACAGAUGGUCGUCGGUACUCCUUUGUAUGGGGGAGUCCAGGUAGUUCCAUCUCUUAUGGAUUGGUGUUUCUCUUUGAGGACUCAACCGUAGCUUAGAUGGUCGUCGAUUCUCCCAUUUGUGUGGGGAGAUCAGUUAGUUCCAUCCCUUUGGUCUAAAGUCGAUAAAGUGUGGUGAAUUGAAGGUUGAUCCCAGUACCAUGUGACAAGUUUUUGUGUUUUGGUAGGGGUAAGACUGAACCAUGAAUGGUUGCCUACGUACUCCUAUUGAAGAGGAGAUCAGGUCUGCUAGUUCGAACCUAGUGUAAGAGGUUCAACGAUGUAUGUGAAAGGGUGUAGAAGGGUGUAGAAGUGUUUUUUUUAUGUGGUGUGACCGGGCCAUAAAAACAAGGUUCUAAAAGGCGCUAGGCGGGAGGCGGGCGGCCAGGGGAGGCCUAGCGCCUGGGGGGCCUAGGCAGGAUUUUUUAUUGUAAGUCAAUUUUACUAUUUUAUCUCACAUUAUUCUAACAAAACAAUAAUAUAAAGCAAAAUAAUCUAUAAUAAAGAUAAUAAAGGCAUUUGUUUAAAGUUUAAACACAUUCAUAUAGCCAACUUCAAAGUUUAAACAAACACACAAUUGUUCAAAAUUCAAACACAAACAAAUAAUCAAAAAUACAAACUAAUAGUCUUCAUCCCCAUAUCCCUCUAUAUUUCUAACUCUUCAUCUCCAUAUCCCUCCAAGAUAAUGUCUCCAUUGGACUCACACUCAUACUCCUCAUCUCCCUCUUCCUCUAUGUCAUCAUCAGACAAAAAAUCUUCUUCAUGAAGUUCUCUUACUCCAACAAUUCUACUACUUCUCCUAGGCUCUAGCAUGUUAUCCGCUCUGGAUGUUUCACCAACCGUCUCCCAAAUAAGGCCCGAACAACCCUUAACCUCAUCAUCACCACCUUCAACAAUCCAUCCUUGCACUUUUGAAGCAUCACUUGCUAGUAGCACAUCUACUUUCCUAUCUUUCUCCCAUUUCUUUUUGUUAUUAAGCCUUGCAUUAAAUUGGACAUAGACUAGAUUGUUCAACCUUGUUGCAUCUAGUCUAUUCCUCUUCUUUGUAUGAAUCUACAAAAAAUGAAAUUGUUUUUUAAAAAAAUAAAAAAAUUAUAUAUUUAUAUUAGAUUUUACUUAAUAAACCACUUACUAGUUACUAUAUACUAUGUAGUUGAUAUUUACCCCCUCAAAAGUACUCCAAUUUCUCUCACACACAGAUGAACUAGUAGUCAACGAAAGAAUCCUUGUUGCCAUCCUUUACAAGUUAGGUGUACUAUUACCAUAAUUGGACCACCAUCCAACUAGUCAUUAAAGAUUGUAAAUUAUUAACAAAUAUUUUAACAAGUAUUAAAUAGUAAAGAAAGAUUAAACAAUAAAUAUUUAUACUCGAAUCAUAAUUAUUAUCAUUUGUUGCACAUCCCGCCGCCGCUAAAGGUCUUGCAAACCCACCCUCUUUUUUUUAUACUUCAACAACUCUAUAUUUAUGACAAGACUUUGCAUAUUGAAGUCAUCGGGAAAGAACUUCUCAACACAAGUAAACAUCGCAUCCAUGACAAGUGGAUCACUUUGUAUGUUAGGAUCUUUAAAGAAGUGAUAAGGGUUCAAUUGGUAAGCCGUCAAAUGCAAAGGACUAUCAAGCCGGUCUUUGGCUUUAGCAUCGAUAAUCGCGAGAAUGGGACGAUAGUUAGUCCCAUUAUUUUUGAAUGCCUCUUUGAUCUCUUCAUUUGCUUUUUUGAGUUCUCCAUAUAAAAAACCCAUUGAUGGCUUUUGGUCUCCAUCAACAAGGCGAAGCACCUUUACCAAUGGAGCAAACACUUUCAAGCAUAGUGUUACUUCAUUCCAAAAACUCAAACUCAAGACAGUAGCAUACGCCAUUUUUCCCUUAGUAUUUUUUGACCAUUUGCAUUGAUCCCAUUCAGUACUAGUAAACAUAUACCUCAACUUCUCUUUCUUUUCCAUCAAACUUUGCAAAGUUAAGAAAGAAGUUGCAAAUCUAGUAGUGCCAUGACUCACUAUGUCUCUCUUUUUUGUAUGUUUCCUCAUCAAUGCCAAUGUCUUAUGAUGUGCAUAAAUAAAGAUAGUAAAGGCCUUUGCUUUCUCAAUCACUCCCUUAAACUUUGGUAGCUUGCCAAUUCCUUCAAGCAUGAGGUUCAAAGUGUGAGUGGCACAAGAAGUCCAAAACAUAUGUGGCCUCUUUAUCAUUAACAAGUCUGCCGCGGUCAUGUUGUUGGAAGCAUUAUCAGUAACAACUUGCACUACAUUUUGUGGCCCAACUUGUUUAAUGAAAUCAUCUACAUAUUUGAAAAUAUAUUCUUUAGUGUGUGCUUCCUCAGAAUCUUCUUUACAAGAAAGAAAAGUUGUGCCCUCUUUGCAAUUCACACACAAAUUCAUGAUACUUCUUCUUUUUCUAUCAGUCCAAGCAUCGGUCAUAAUCGAACAACCAUUGAAAGACCAUUCCUCGUCUUACUUCUUGAGUGACUUCUUAGUCCUCUCUACCUCCUCUUUCAAUAAUGGCUCCCUUAGUUGGUAUUGGCUUGGAGGUUGGUAACCCGGGCUGUAACGACCGAGAAAUUCGGAUUUUAUUGUAAAAUGAUUUUAUUAAAUUAAAUAAUAAUAAAAUCAUAUUCUUUGUGAUAUCAAGAUGGUUGUCAUUCUAUAACCUAUUGAUGUUGGAAUGUCGUAGUAUUUGAGCUACGUGAAGGAAUUAAAGUGUUUGAAUUUCUAAGACGAAAAUAAAAGUUUUCCGAGAAAUUUUCUGAAAAACACUAUUCAUCGGUAUUUGCUCGGGAAUUAUUUUUCAAUUUUCGAGAAAUACGUAAUGAUAGAAUAUCAAGGUAAGACGAAUUAUGUAAUAAUAAUCUAGUUAUGGAAAACGUAAUAUUUCGCUUGCGAACUUAAUUCGAGAAUAUUAAGGAAAGCGAAGUAUUAGUAAGAAAUCGUUAAGGGUAUGAUACUUAUGUAUUGUACAAGGGAAUGAAAACGAGUAUAAUACAAAGUAUUAUACGAGUUUGUAUGAAGGAAGGAAUAUCGUAUAUAAUAAAGUUGUAUACGAAUUAUAAUACGAGAAUAAUACAUAGACAAUAUGUAUAUGUAAUGGAUUUGGAAGAUUGGUUAACAAUUGGUACAAGCCCAAGUGAAUUAAAUGUUAAGGCCAAAUGUUAAUUAAUGAACAAGUUAAUUAAUGCAAGCCCAAAAGAUAGGUUAAACUAAGCCCAAAUUAAAGUCCAAUGGGUUAUGGUGACCCAUGGGGCAAACCAUACUAAUGUGGUUAAUGUGUGGUAACCAAGAUAAGUGGUGACCAAGUUAAGUGGUAACCAAGUUGAUGUAAUGACCAAGCAAAGGAUAGGUUUUGUGCCAUGCAAGUAAUGAAUAGUAAGGAGGUUCAUAAGGAGAUGGGAUUGGUUUAAAGUCCAAACUACCCUAACUUUGAAAAAUCUAUAUAUAGAGGAGGCUUACAAGCCAUUUUUUAGUUGUUCAAAUAAUCCAAACACUCUUUCAAAGUGCUUAAUUGUUAGGGUGAUUAAGUUGCAAAUAAGUUACUUACAUAAGAAGAAGAAGAAGACUACUUACAAAGACUUCAAAUGUAAGACUCCUCUAAUUAUCUUCUAUCUCUAUUCAUGAUAGGUUGAUAAGCAAAGAUGAAUUAAGGAACAUGAAUGUUAAGAAGUGAGAAGAAUGUGUAAGUAAUGAACUAAAGCCACAUAAGUUGGUAAUAAGUCAUUUAAGCUAGCAUAAGUUAUAAACUUAUGUGAAAGUAUUAUGAACUUGUCAUGAGUUUGUUAAUGAAAGUAAAGGAAUUGUAUGUAUAUUAAUCAUAUAUACAUGAAUGAAACUAUAUGUGAAAACAUGUAUGCAUGAUGAUUAAAAGAUAAUAACUUUCAUAAGUUAUGAACAAUGAAGCUAUAAGUAGUUUAUAAUUGAAUAAGUUAUAAGCUCAUGAAUGAAUUAAGUUAAAAUCCAACAAUGGAAAUAAGUUAUUGUAUUAAGUAUGUGAAUAUGUUUAUAGAAUGAAAUGAAUGCAAGUGAGUAAUGAACAAAUCAUAAGUAAUGAAGAUUUGCCAGAAAUCGAACGAUUAGACGAUAAUCGUCGAAUUCAUGAAAUUCCCAGAUUAGAAGUCAAAUUUUGAGUUUGAACUCGGAAAUGUAAUUUUCCAAUGGAGACAAGUCAUAUUCGUCAUUUUAGAGUUGCGAACUCAAGAAUGACUGAAUUCCGACUUAUAAUGAAGAAACGAGCGUUGAACGUUCACGAACGUUUAUCGUUUACGUUAAAAAUGAACCAAUAGGUGAAUUUUUAGCAAACAAAGUCAAAUAGAUAAAAUUUUUGCAUGAACGCGUAGAUUACGUAAUUUGUGAACCGUAGGCUUUUGAACGAGCCAAUUCGGACUUAUAACGAAGAAGUUAUGCGUCCGGGAAGUUCACAAAAUUUAAAGUUUGAAAAAAUUUUCUGGUGCAUAGAGUUGGCGCCGCGGUGCCAACCCUAGGCCAAAUGAUGGCGCCGCAGCGCCGUAACAGUAACCGAGCAUACUGGAAACUCGCGCCGCAGCGCAAACUGUAGAACAUUUUAUGGCGACGCAGCGCCAUGAACAGACCAUGCCAUACUGGAAAGUGGCACCGUAGCGCGGCCCACUAAGUAAGGACUCGCGCCGCAGCGCCAAGUUCCUGACCUCUCCACUAUUAACUCACGCCGCAGGGCGAGCUGUAGUUAUAAAGCUGGCGCAGUAGCGCCAGUCUCAGAACAAGGAUAGUGAAGAAUAUUUCUAAGUACAAAGAAAGAAUGGUAAUGGAUUUAAAAAUAAACAUACUUUAAGGAACAUAACUUAACAUUGUUUAAACUUUGUUAAACCUUAAGGAUGUUGUAUAAAGGUUGAGAUAACCUAGUCAAAUGUAAAUGCAAGUAUAAUGAUAAACCCGAAUGAAUAGUAAAUAUAUCUAAUACACAAUUAGAUUGAGAUGAAGGGUAAGAUAGUCAUAUAUAUACUUGGUUAUAUAUGACCUAAUGUGAGGCAUUAUGUGGUCAUGUAUUGCAGAGACUUGAAAGACUUGAACGUAAAGUAUUUAUACCGUAGCAGACGCUAAAGGCAAGUAUUCUAACUCUUGUCUCAAUUCAAUCUGAACAAGUUUUGAAGUUCGUGUAUUCUUACGCAUGAACUAAUGUAUGAUGAAGUUAAAGCCAAUCCUUUCAGCUAGACUUGACUUAUUGAGUGGAUUAUUGAUAAUCUUUCAGGCACGCGAGGUUGCCACCAAUUAAACGUACAUACGUUUAAUGAAUGUAGUGUUUAUCAACAUAGAGUACAAUAGGCUGAUCACCUAGAAGUGCUCAUAAGUAAUACCGGUCUUACGGACUUAGUUCCGGGUUGUCCUUUUCAAAGAAGAAAGAAAUGCUCGAGGUCUUUGACUGGAGUGAAUGUUUUACUGAAUACUGAUAUUAUUGUAAAACAUUUUUAAAGAAAGAUGAAAUGCUAUUUUGAAUAAUUAAUAGUACUUCAUAACUAUUGUUCAGUUAUUAAAGAUAUACGAUUCGUAUGUAUCAAACAUGUUAUUUAUUGAAAAUGUCAUACUUGCUGAGCUAGUUAUGCUCACUCUUGCUUGAACCAUAUGAAUGCAGCUAAGACUGAAUGUCCCGAAGGAUCGAAUAAGGAUAAAGGAAAAGCUAAGGUAGAUCGUUAAGCUGCCUAUGUAAUAGUAUAGGUUAUUGUUGUAAUGUUAUUGAUAUUAUGACAAAGAACCUUUGUAAUAGGUUUAGAACUUGGGACAAUGUAAUUAUUAUUUUGAUAAUAUAGAAGAGAUGUUCGUUCUUUUGAGGCUUUUCAAUUGAAUGAAUGUAUGAAUGUUAUUACAGUAUAGCACCAUCUGUCAGGUUGGAAGAUACCCGAAUUUAGGGGCGCUACAGGUUGGUAUCAAAGCCUAGGUUGUAAAACUUAAGGGGGAUUAGAACCUUAAGUCAUAACCUUAAUAAAGAAGUAGAAGAUGAAAGAUAACCCUAUAAAAAUGUAUUAUCUUAUGUUAAGUGUUUUUAUUAUUUUACUAACGUGUACUAAUCAAACAAUAUUGUUUUAUUGUAGAUGUCAGGUGAAAAUGAUAUGUAUAGAGAUAUACAUGUAGUGAGCGAGGAUUCGGUUAAUCGAGUAGAGGUACUACCCAAUCCCGUAGCAGUAGAACCAAAGGUGCUGACUAUCGAGUCUGGAGACUCGGACGAUUUAGACUACAUGUCUAUAUUUGAUGGCAUGCUAGAGGAAGAGGUGGACGUGAUGUCCUUUGAUCAGGUUCCACCUACAGAAGAGUUGACUACGGGGGAGUCAAUGAAGGCGUUGUUCAUGUCAAUUCUGGAUAGAAACGUCCACUAAUGUCAAGAAGUUAGGGAGUUCCAAGAGGAACUCCAAGCUGUCCGGGAGGACAAAUUAAGUAUGGAGGGUAUGUUGGAAGAGGAACACGAUGAUCGUGUUUUAGCCAAGGACAAGGUCCACGAGCUGAAACACGAAGUCUUUGAGCUCAAGCAGGAGCUAAAGACUAAACAGCAGAAGAUAGAGAGGAUGUCCUAUAUACAUAGGAGUUCUCAUGUGGACUUCCAGCAACAAGUAGUUGGAUAUCCAGUGGAAGCAGGGCAGACUCGACAUACCAUUAGUCGAGAUGUCAUAGCCGGUUUGGCCAAGAAAGAUUUCGAUAAUGCCAUUCGGCAAAUGUAAUCUAGUUAUAGCUAGACUAGUUUAGAUAUGUAAAUAUUAUGUAUCUAGUAGUGACGUAAAACUCUCUUUUGUAUAUCAAGGGUAGUCUUUUGUAAAUCCCAAUUUUUGGAAAACAAUUGCGGGAUGGUAAUGUAAUCAGCUAAGGCUGAGUAAUGUAAACAAUGUAGUGUUAUGCUACAAGUUAUGAAUCAAUAUAAGUCUUUUUAUGGAACAUAUUGAGUAAUGGGUAUGAGUUAUUAUUUCAGUACAAAUAAUAACAAAACAAGAAGAAGAAAGUAAUAAUGACGUGUUGUUUUCUUAACAGCAAAAUGCCGCCAAGAAGGAGACAACGAAAUCAAGAUACUAAUGUUGAACAACCGGAAGAAGGUCCGGUUAAUCCAAUACAAGAGUUCGUUAAUCUUUUAACGGCUGCGUUUAAUAGAACUGGGGCUAAUGUACCCAUAAAUCCUGGAGUAGUGAUAGCUACUACUUUUAAGGAUUUCAAAAGUGUCGGUCCGCCGGAGUUCAAAGGAACUACAGACCCAAUAGAAGCCCAAACUUGGGUGAAAGAAAUUGAGAAAGCAUUUGUAAUAUCAAAUGUUGAGGAAGGUCAAAAGGUUGCCUUUGCAACCUAUAUGAUGAAAGGGGAGGCCAAUUUCUGGUGGGAGGCAAACCAGGUUAGGGCUGGAAUAGAAAACUUAACGUGGGUAGGGUUCAACGAGAUUUUCUUCUAGAACUAUUUUCCCACGAGUAUGCAGGGGAGGAUGGAAAUGAGGUUUCUUGAUUUGAAACAAGGGGAUAUGACUGUUCCCCAGUAUGCUGCCAAGUUUAAUGAACUGGCAAGAUUUUCUCCACAUCAAGUGGACACUAAAGUGAGAAAGGUUAGACGAUUCGAGCAGGGCUUGAAACCCUGGAUCUAUAGCCAAAUUUCUGUGUUCCAAAGUACUUCCUUUGGAACCAUAUUAGAAAAGGCAAUAAUUGCCAAAGGUGGGAAUGAGGCUCUCAGCCAGUACCACAAGGAUAAGAAAAACAAGGGCAGGGUUGAUGGAGGAAUAAAGACCGAGGGAACCAGUGGUAGUGGCGACGGUCAAAAGAGGAAGAGUUUUAACUCUGGGAAUACCAGAGUAAAGCAAGGGGAUUCAAAAAGGAGGAUGGAGGCUUGUAAAACCUAUGGGAAGACUCAAUUAGGAGUCUGUCUCAAGGGUAAGGCAGUAUGUUAUAAUUGUGGGCAGGAAGGGCACAUUUCGCCUAAUUGUCCCAAUCCAAAGAAAAACCAUUGAUGCUUUGUAUGUGGAUCAACUGACCACAUAGCAAAGAACUGUCCAAAGAAGGGGGCAGAUGGAAAUAAGGGCACUAAUAGCGGUAAGUUGGCUAUUAGUGGUCCAGCUCAGCUGGGUAGACCAAUGGCCUGCACUUUUAAUAUGACGGUCCAAGAUGCGGUGGCAUCAGGGGAUGUAGUUGCAGGUAUUAUCCCGAUCAAUAACAUAAAUGCGUACAUGCUAUUUGAUUCAGGUGCUACUUGUUCAUUUAUAGCAUGUGAUUUUGCAAGACGAUUAGAAUUACUUUCCGAAAAGUUUCUUAUACCUUUGAUUAUUAAGGUAGCAAAUGAAGAGAUAAUUCCUGUUGAAGAUAUUCAUAGGAAUUGUUGCAUAGAUAUACGAGAUUGUAAAUUAUCGGUAGAUUUAAUACCGAUAAAGUUGGGAGAAUUCGAUGUAAUUCUCAGAAUGGAUUGGUUGAUUAACCAUGGAGCAAUUAUAGAUUGCCAGAAGAAAUGUGUGAGCAUUAGGACGUUGAAACAACCUCCUGUAGUAUUUUACGGUAAUAAAUCGCUAGGACGUUCGUGUUGUCUUACGAUGACACAAACUAGAAAACUUUUAAGGAAGGGAUGUGUGGGUUACUUGUGCCAUGUUGUUGACACCCAGCGAGUGGGAGCAACCAUGGAACAAAUACUCAUAGUAAACGAAUUCAUGGAUGUGUUUCCAAGUGAGUUACCGGGGUUACCACCGAAUAGGGAGAUCAAAUUCGUAAUAGACAUAGUGCCAGGAACGGCACCAGUCUCAAGGGCACCGUAUCGUAUGGCGCUUGUGGAAAUGAAAGAGCUAAUGGUUCAGUUACAGGAACUAUUGGAUAGAAAGUACAUUCAACUGAGUGUUUCCCCAUGGGGUGCACCGGUAUUGUUUAUUAAGAAGAAAGACGGAUCGUUAAGACUUUGUAUCGACUAUCGAGAGUUGAACAAGUUAACGAUAAAGAAUAAAUACCCAUUGCCCAGGAUCGAUGAUCUUUUUGAUCAGUUGAAAGGGGUAAAGUAUUUUUCUAAAAUAGAUUUGCGGACGGGGUAUCACCAAUUGAAGGUUAGGAAGGAGGAUAUACCAAAGACGACAUUCAGAACUCGUUAUGGUCAUUAUGAGUUUCUAGUAAUGUCAUUUGGAUUGACGAAUGCACCAGCUGCAUUUAUGGAUAUGAUGAACAGAGUGUUCAAACCAUAUUUGGACAAGUUCGUCGUAGUGUUUAUCGAUGAUAUUCUAGUCUAUUCAAAGAUGCCAGAAGAUCAUGCUGAACACUUAAGAUUAGUGUUGGAGACACUAAGAAAGGAGAAGUUAUAUGCAAAAUUCACUAAGUGUGAAUUUUGGCUGGAGAAGGUAUAGUUUUUAGGUCAUGUCAUUGACCAAGAAGGGAUUUCAGUGGAUCCAGCAAAGGUAGAAGCAGUGAUGAGCUGGGAACAAUCGAAAACGCCGUCUGAGGUGCGGAGUUUCCUAGGGUUAGCGGGAUACUAUCAAAGAUUUAUCCAAGAUUUUUCAAAGAUAGCUACCCCAUUGACUAACUUGACAAGGAAGACGAUGAAAUACGUGUGGACGGAUAAAUAUGAAGACAGUUUUCAAGAAUUGAAGAAAAGAUUAAGUGAAGCUCCUGUUUUGUCAUUACCCGAUGACACAGGAAAUUUUGUAGUUUAUAGCGAUGCUUCGCAUAGAGGACUUGGUUGCGUGCUCAUGCAGCAUGCCAAAGUCAUUGCGUAUGCAUCAUGGCAGUUAAAGGAUUAUGAGAAAGUCUAUCCUACUCAUGAUCUGGAACUGGCCGUGAUAGUGUUUGCCUUAAAGAUAUGGAGACAUUAUCUUUAUGGGGAGAAAUGUGAGAUAUAUACGGACCAUAAGAGUCUUAAGUAUAUCUUCACUCAGAAGGAGUUGAAUAUGAGACAGAGAAGAUGGCUAGAGUUGAUAAAGGAUUACGAUUGUGAAAUCCUGUAUCACCCUAGGAAAGCCAAUGUAGUUGUCGAUGCCUUAAGUAGGAAGGGUCGAGAAAAGUUAUCUGUGUUAACAACUCAAAAUGAGUUAAUAACAAAGAUGGCUAAGAUGGAAAUAGAAGUGAAGAUGCCAAGUGACUCUAGGCAGAUACUUUUUUCAACGGAGAUGCAAUCUACCAUCGUAGAGAGAGUCAAGGAGGUACAACUCAAGACUGACGAGUGUAACCAAAUGAAGAAGCGGAUAUCUGAUAAGGAAGAUACUAAGUAUAGUCUUGAUAAUGAAGAAUUAUUAAGAUUUGAAGGAACAAUUUGGGUUCCAAAUGAGACAGAAUUAAAGGAGCAAGUGUUACAAGAAGCUCAUAGUUUGAGGUACUUGAUACAUCCUGGUAGCACUAAGAUGUAUCAAGACCUUCGACAGAUUUUUUGGUGGCCGAAUAUGAAGAGAGAAAUAGCUGAAUACGUGAGUAGAUGCUUAACUUGUCAAAAAGUUAAAGCUGAACAUCAAAGACCAAGUGGCUUGUUACAGUCAUUGGAGAUUCCAGAAUGGAAGUGGGAGCAUAUCACGAUGGACUUCGUGAUGGGACUUUCGACAACGACCAAAGGGUACGAUUCGAUUUGGGUAAUAGUAGACCGAUUGACGAAAUUGGCUCACUUCUUACCAAUUAGGGUCAAGUAUAACUUAGACUAGUUAGCUAAGCUUUAUGUCAAGGAAAUUAUUUCCAGACAUGGAGUACUAGUAUUGAUUGUGUCAGAUCGUGAUCCACGAUUCACAUCGAACUUCUGGAGAAGUUUGCAAGAACAGCUGGGAACACAGUUGAAGUUAAGCACAACUUAUCAUCCACAAACUGAUGGGUAGAGCGAGAGGACAAUUCAGACGUUAGAAGACAUGUUAAGGUCUUGCGUCAUGGAUUUUAAGGGUAGUUGGGAUGAUCACCUACCACUUGUAGAGUUUGCAUAUAACAACAGUUAUCAUGCAAGCAUAGGCAUGCCGCCUUAUGAAGCUUUGUACGGAAGGUGCAGAAAACCAUUGUAUUGGGAUGAAGUGGGAGAACGCCGGAUGCUAGGACCAGAAUUGGUGCAGCAGACAGCGGAUGUAAUAAAGUUAAUUCAGAUGCAUCUUGUUACAGGUCAAGACAGACAGAAGAAAUAUGCGGACUCACAUAGAUUAAAUCGAGAGUUUGAAGUAGGCUCAUAUGUAUUUCUAAAGGUAUCUCCCUGGAAAGGAAAGAUACGCUUUGGAAAGAAAGGAAAGAUACGCUUUGGAAAGAAAGGGAAGAUAAGUCCAAGGUUUAUAGGACCUUUUGAGGUAUUAAAAAGGGUGGGAGAGGUAGCUUAUAUGAUAGCAUUACCUCCAGACCUAUAAAGAAUAAAUAACGUGUUUCACGUAUCUGUAUUGCGUCCGUAUAAGCCGAAUUAUAAGCACGUAAUCGAAUAUGAGCCGAUUCAUAUCGAGAAAGAUUUAACCUAUGAAGAAUCGUCGAUUCAAAUCAUUGAUAGAAAAGAGCAAGUUCUGCGGAACAAAGUAAUACCGUCAGUAAAGGUAUUAUGGAAGAACCACGAUGCCGAAGAAGCAACGUGGGAAUUAGAAGAAAAGAUGAAGAAAAAUUUUCCUCAUCUAUUUGAUUAAAGUAAGACAAGAUUCUGGGGACAUAAUCUUUAUAAGGGGGGAAGAAUGUAAUGACCGAGAAAUUCAGAUUUUAUUGUAAAAUGAUUUUACUAACUAAAUAAUAAUAAAAUCAUAUUCUUUGUGAUAUCAAGAUGGUUGUCAUUCUAUAACCUAUUGAUGUUGGAAUGUCGUAGUAUUUGAGAUACGUGAAGAAAUUAAAGUGUUUGAAUUUCUAAGACGAAAGUAAAAGUUUUCCGAGAAAUUUUCUGAAAAACACUAUUCAUCAGUAUUUGCUCGGGAAUUAUUUUUAAUUUCCGAGAAAUACGUAAUGAUAGAAUAUCAAGGUAAGAUGGAUUAUGUAAUAAUAAUCUAGUUAUGGAAAACGUAAUAUUCGCUUGCGGAAUUAAUUCGAGAAUAUUAAGGAAAGCGAAGUAUUAGUAAGAAAUCGUUAAGGGUAUGAUACUUAUGUAUUGUACAAGGGAAUGAAAACAAGUAUAAUACAAAGUAUUAUACGAGUUUGUAUGAAGGAAGGAAUAUCGUAUAUAAUGAAGUUGUAUACGAAUUAUAAUAUGAGAAUAAUACAUAGACAAUAUGUAUAUGUAAUGGAUUUGGAAGAUUGGUUAACAAUUGGUACAAGCCCAAGUGAAUUAAAUGUUAAGGCCCAAUGUUAAUUAAUGAAUAAGUUAAUUAAUGCAAGCCCAAAAGAUAGGUUAAACUAAGCCCAAAUUAAAGUCCAAUGGGUUAUGGUGACCCAUGGGGCAAACCAUACUAAUGUGGUUAAUGUGUGGUAACCAAGAUAAGUGGUGACCAAGUUAAGUGGUAACCAAGUUGUUGUAAUGACCAAGCAAAGGAUAGGUUUUGUGCCAUGCAAGUAAUGAAUAGUAAGGAGGUUCAUAAGGAGGUGGGAUUGGUUUAAAGUCCAAACUACCCUAACUUUGGAAAAUCUAUAUAUAGAGGAGGCUUACAAGCCAUUUGUUAGUUGUUCAAAUAAUCCAAACACUCUCUCAAAGUGCUUAAUUGUUAGGGUGAUUAAGUUGAAAAUAAGCCACUUACAUAAGAAGAAGAAGAAGAAGAAGAAGACUACUUACAAAGACUUCAAAUGUAAGACUCCUUCUCUAAUUAUCUUCUAUCUCUAUUCAUGAUAGGUUAAUAAGCAAAGAUGAAUUAAAGAACAUGAAUGUUAAGAAGUGAGAAGAAAGUGUAAGUAUUGAACUUAAGCCACAUAAGUUGGUAAUAAGUCAUUUAAGCUAGCAUAAGUUAUAAACUUAUGUGAAAGUAUUAUGAACUUGUCAUGAGUUUAUUAAUGAAAGUAAAUAAAUUGUAUGUAUAUUAAUCAUAUAUACAUGAAUGAAAUUAUAUGUGAAAACAUGUAUGCAUGAUGAUUAAAAGACAAUAACUUUCAUAAGUUAUGAACAAUAAAGCUAUAAGUAGUUUAUAAUUGAAUAAGUUAUAAGCUCAUGAAUGAAUUAAGUCAAAAUCCAAUAAUGGAAAUAAGUUGUUGUAUUAAGUAUGUGAAGAUGUUUAUAGAAUGAAAUGAAUGCAAGUGAAGUAAUGAACAAAUCAUAAGUAAUGAAGAUUUUCUGGAAAUCGAACGAUUAGACGAUAAUCGUCGAAUUCGUGAAAUUCCCGGAUUAGAAGUCAAAUUUUGAGUUUGAACUCAGAAUGAACCAAUAGGUGAAUUUUUAGCAAACGAAGUCAAAUAGAUAAAAUUUUGCAUGAACGUGUAGAUUACGUAAUUUAUGAACCGUAGGCUUUUGAACGAGCCAAUUCGGACUUAUAACGAAGAAGUUAUGCGUCCGGGAAGUUCAUAAAAUUUAAAGUUUGAAAAAAAUUUCUGGUGCACAGAGUUGGCGCCACGGCGCCAACCCUAGGCCAAAUGAUGGCGCCGCAGCGCUAUAACAGUAACCGAGCAUACUGGAAACUCGCGUCGCAGCACGAACUAUAGAACAUUUUGUGGUGACGCAGCGCCAUGAACAGACCAUGACAUACUGGAAAGUGGCAUCGUAACGCGGCCCACUAAGUAAGGACUCGCGCCACAGCGCCAAGUUCCGGACCUCUCCACUGUUAACUCGUGCCGCAGGGCGAGCUGUAGUUAUAAAGCUGGCGCUGCAGCGCCAGUCUCAGAACAAGGAUAGUGAAGAAUAUUUCUAAGUACAAAGAAAGAAUGGUAAUGGAUUUAAAAGUAAACAUACUUUAAGGAACAUAACUUAACAUUGUUUAAACUUUGUUAAACCUUAAGGAUGUUGUAUAAAGGUUGAGAUAACCUAGUCAAAUGUAAAUGCAAGUAUAAUGAUAAAUCAGAAUGAAUAGUAAAUAUAUCUAAUACACAAUUAGAUUGAGAUGAAGGGUAAGAUAGUCAUAUAUAUACUUGGUUAUAUAUGACCUAAUGUGAGGCAUUAUGUGAUCAUGUAUUGUAGAGACUUGAAAGACUUGAACGUAAAGUAUUUAUACCGUAGCAGACGCUAAAGGCAAGUAUUCUAACUCUUGUCUCAGUUCAAUCUGAACAAGUUUUGAAGUUCGUGUAUUCUUACGCAUGAACUAAUGUAUGAUGAAGUUAAAGCCAAUCCUUUCGGCUAGACUUGACAUAUUGAGUGGAUUAUUGAUAAUCUAUUCAUCUAUUAUCAUAUGUUAUUAUCUUUUUUCAACUACUUGAUAUGGUUUUCAAAAGAAGACUGAAAUGUUAAACAAAUGUUUUUGUCGUUAAACGACAGGCAUGCGAGGUUGCCACCAAUUAAACGUACAUACGUUUAAUGAAUGUAGUGUUGAUCAACAUAGAGUACAAUAGGCUGAUCACCUAGAAGUGCUAGUAAGUAUUACCGGGCUUACGGACUUAGUUCCGGGUUGUCCUUUUCAAAGAAGAAAGAAAUGCUCGAGGUCUUUGACUGGAGUGAAUGUUUUACUGAAUACUGAUAUUAUUGUAAAACAUUUUGAAAGAAAGAUGAAGUGCUAUUUUGAAUCAUCAAUAGUACUUCAUAACUAUUGUUCAGUUAUUGAAGAUAUACGAUUCGUAUGUAUCAAGCAUGUUAUUUAUUGAAAAUGUCAUACUUGCUGAGCUAGUUAUGCUCACCCUUGCUUGAACCAUAUGAAUGCAACUAAGACUUAACGUCCCGAAGGAUCGAAUAAGGAUAAAGGAAAAGCUAAGGCAGAUCGUUAAGCUGCCUAUGUAAUAGUAUAGGUUAUUAUUGUAAUGUUAUUGAUAUUAUGACAAAGAACCUUUGUAAUGGGUUUAGAACUUGGGACAAUGUAAAUAUUAUUUUGAUAAUAUAGAAGAUAUGUUCGUUCUUUUGAGGCUUUUCAAUUGAAUAAAUGUAUGAAUGUUUGUAUAGUAUAGCACCAUCUGUCGGGUUGGAAGAUACCCGGAUUUGGGGGCGCUACACGGGCCAUAUUAACCAACCUCCUCACAAAACCUUUUGAAGCUGUCACAGUCGAUAACAUUAAAAGGAAUACCGACUUCAUACACCCAUCGAGCCAUGUAUUAAAGCACACUAUGCGUCCUUUCCUUCCAAAGUGCAUCAUUAAUAUUUUGUUAUCGUAGCUUUUUACUUGCACUCAUUAAAGAAUCGGGAUUUAUGGUCGAUGCAAAUUUAUCCAUAGCCUCAAUCAAUUGUGGUCUUUUUCUUGACCCUGUCACUUCAAUUUCUUCUUCUCCCUCUUCAUCAAUUAUAUUAACCUCUCUUCUAAUUUCUUCAAUCUCUUUCCUUUUUUCUUGCUUCUUCCUUUUAACUUCUUCUAAUGCGGCUUUACAGUUUUCUUUAUCUUCAUCAGUAGCCUUUGGGCACGAUCUAGUAUUUCCCGUAAUUUGCGCAAUGUGUUAUUUAAUUCUAUAAACCCCUCCACUAAUACAAUGUCCACACAACUUGCAUUUCACCUUAUCGAUAUUUUUAGGAUUAAUCAACAUCCCAUACUACCAUCCAACGUCAUUUCAUGCACGUUUCAAUUGUGAUUUAAGUACAGUGACAGAAUUAGAUGCUCCCGAAGAAGGAAUUUGUGCCAUUGAAACAAACCUACAAAUGUCACAGUCUAUAGAAGGCGGCAGCAACAAAUAGAGGGAAAAUAAGUAAGUCAAUAAGAUAUUCAUAUUCUCUGUUUACUAUACACAGUUAUAGCUCAUGCUUGGUUAUUUUAUAUUUUAUUUUCUCUGUUUGGUAUACACAGUACGGUUUGUUGUAUUUUUGUUUAUGUACAGCUUUCUUUGGAUGCUCAUUGCUCUGGAACUAUUAUUUCACAGGCCUCGCUAGUGUCGCAUCCAAACUCGUAUUUCAUUUUGACUGUCGAUAUUAAUACUUGUUCUGUGACCCAAGAAUGUUUACUUACUGUGAUUGAGAUUGUUCAGUUUUAAUUUGAGCUUAAAGUUUGUUGAUGAACUCAAACCUUUUUAGUUGCUUAGCAGAAAGGAAAAUUUCAAAAACAAGUGGCGAUGUGGAGUUUACAAACAAGCUAAUUGAUGUUCACAAACAAGCUAAUUGAUGUUUACAAGAUAUCAAAACUCACUGUGAUGGAGUGGUGUUGUGGCCAUGUGGCGGCGAUGGAGUGGCGUUGUCGCUACGAUGGAGCAGUGGCGGCCGUCCGGCCGUGCGCCCGUGCCUCUUCUUCUUCUUCUUCUUUUGCAGUUCUGCCCUUUCUUCUUCACUUUAGUAAUGGUCUGCACGUUUUUUAGAGAAUGGAAGAAAGAUCAGAUGACUGAAGUGAUGACUAUGACUAUGAGUAGUGGGUAUUAAAUUUUAACUUUGAGUAAAGAUAUCAUGUGUACACCCUCACCACAAACUUUGUAAGCUAUCAAGAAUGUUUACUUCAUGCCACGUGUUGAGCAAUAUGCCAU